rnacentral:lncRNA from 1 species
CCAUUUCCGCUGCUGAUUCUUCUUCUGUACUCUGUUCCUCCUCUGUUUUUUUUUUCUUUCUCCUCUUUAUCUUCCUCAGCUGGUGGUGAGUCUUCAUCGGAUUCUGAUUCUUCUUUACUCUCUAUUGCUGCCUCAGCUACUGGAGCAUCCCCUGCUGAUGCUUGGAAAUUAAACGGCUGCAGUAAGGAGUUAGGGAAGUCUUUGUUCUUUUUCUUUAUAUAGAUUGCAAGUUGAUGUCUAUGGUUUUCAAGGUGCAUCAAAUAAUUUCAGAAUCUUUGAUUUUCUUCUUUUUGUGCGUGUACACAUUCAGUGAUGGUGCCGCUCAAUUCUUGUAGCAACAUGUUCUAGUGUUGCUGUAGCAGCAGUUUCCCCAACAAUUCUUUCAAUAGUUCGGGUGAUAAAUGCUUCUUCAUUCUUAAUGCUUUCAUCUUUGGCUGAUAUUUUCACCCCAGAUACAAGACAAAUGUUGGUGAUGAGUGAGGGAAACAACAAAGCGGCAAUCUUGUGUUUUUCAAAAAACAAUAAUUGUCAAGAAACAUGUUGACGGUUGAUAAGGCUUUUAACUAACUGCCUUAAGUAACAACUUUAAUAAAUAUUACUUUUUCAGAUUUCAAUAAGUUGUAGUUGGCAAAACAAAAUAUAACAUUUAAUCAUUAAAUAUUAUCCAAGUCGAACCCAACAAAAUAAAAUCAAGGAGCAUUAAUAGAGGUCAACUAGCUCCCACCCCCCGGCAUAUUUUUUACAGUUUCUUGUGAUUAUACUUGUUACAACUACCAUCUCAUAGUUAUUGAAGAGGUCACUUUAGAUUCGGAAGGAGAGGGGAAAAAAGUCAAAAUUAGACCACAAAGAAGAUAGUUUUCAGAGGAAAUUAAAAAGGAAUUAUAAGACUCAUAUUAUGUAAAUGAGCGGCCUAUAACACAUCAAAGUGCAAAAUACUAAAAAGCUUGCAAUAAGGACCUAAAAGAGAGAGAGAGAGAGAGACAUAAAAUUAGCAUCUCUAAACAAAAUGUUGAAUAACAGUUUGAGAAAUAUUUCUUUCUCUUACUUUUCCAUAGUGAUGGGACUGGGAAUUAAGAUCAAGUAAAGAAAAUUAGGCACAAUUAUUGUAAAAAAAUAAAAGACCAUCAAAACAUAGCAGACAUACAGAGAUCACCAACAGCAAGCAUGGAUAUGAAAUUAAAACAACUCAAAAAAAAGUUAAUUAUUUUAGUAAGUAGACUGAACUAACCAUAUGCUUUCUGCCAAUAUAAUAACCAUAAGAACCUGACGGUCAUGAACACCAAAGCUUGUGAUUUUCGCCAGCUAGGAGCUCACCUACACUGAAGUCUAUAGGUACAACAAUACCCAAAAUAAUAAUAAAAGCCAUGAAUGGAGUUUUCAAAAGUUCAUAAUUCAGUUUUAGAACAAUUGAUGGAUAAACCUAAAAAUUUGAAGUACACCAAUCAGUUUGAAGUACUUCAUACAGCUUUCAUAUAUAAAAUAUAAAUGUGAAAUAACAUGUUCACAGUGGAGACCAGUCAGUUGCUGGAGAAACUAUAGCCUUGCUUUACAUGUACAGAGCAUCCCAUGCUCAUUAUCAUGGAAUGGUGUCCUACUGCCUACUACUCAAAUUAUGGACUAUUACACAAGUACCGAUCAAAGGUUUUGUUCUCAAUCUUAAAACAGAUCACAUAAAGUUCAUUAAAAAAAAAGGGCCAACUCCUAACACAAUCCACCAAUAAACUCCCCUUUAAACCUCCAUCGUACUAUGUAAUGACAAAUUGCUGCAAACUCUAAAACACAUCCAAUUUCCAUAAGCCCACAUAGGAUCCUCAUUUAUAAAAUAAACCCCAUUUCGCUUAAAGCCUCAAAGCCACAAGACUUAAACAAAAAACUAAAUCAAUACGUAAAGAAAAGUGCAACCUUCCAAAUAAACAUGAGUUUCUCAACAUCGACAACAACCCAGAAAUUAAAAUUACAAAAAAUAAUCAUAAGCUAAAAUUUUAAAAAAACCAUUAAUUAAAUUGACAAAAAAAUAUUAAGCCAUUACCAAUUGUUAAAAUAAACCUCUCUGCCCUUAAAGUCGCUGAAAUCCUCCUCUACAAUUCUAGGCAUAGGCGAACCUUCUAUAGCAAACAAAUUAACUAGCUUCUCAACAAUUAUCUCAAAUUCAAGCAAAUGGGUUUCGAGUAGCGAACAAAAAAAGUUAAAUUUGAACAGGAAAAAAAAAAUCCGAUGAAAGAAGCCUCAAUUAGGGUUUCGCUUUGUUUUUCGAUUUGCGGAAAAAAGGAAAAAGGAAAGAGAAGCCUCAAUUAGGGUUUUGCUUUGUUUUUCGAUUUGGGGAAAAAUGGAAAAAGGAAAGAGAACCUCAAUUAGGGUUUAGCUUUUUAUUAUCUGUCUGAAUUAAUUGAAUUGAGUUUGUAAAUGGACAACUGGAAACAGAAGAGAUCGAGAAGAGAAAAAAGAAAAAGAGAAAGAGAAAGCAAGAUAGUGAUAGGGUUUGGUUCAGAUAUUUGCGUACAUGAACGAAAUAAAGUUUCCAAGUCUGGGUUAUAUUUUGCUUUUGUUAUUUUAAUUUUUUUAUUUAAUUUAUUAGCGCUUUUAUAUCUUAAUUCUACAAGGUCUAAUGAUGUAUUGUCCAUAUGUUAUAGCUUUGAAUUUUAAAAGUCUUAGGUUGGAGUUGGAGUUAAAAGGAAAUUUUAAUGAUUUUUUUUUAAUCUCUGAUACUUCAAUGUCAGCAAUCACUGAUGUUUAAUUUACUGGCACAUUAAUAUCAAUAAUUUAUGAUACUUAUUUAUUAAAAACGAAAAACGGUGCAUAUGUACAUAAUUAAUGACACUUUGUGGAAUAAAGAAACUUUAGAACUAGAAAUGGCUAGACCUGCUUUUCUAGUUGCCAAAUAAAAAGUCUUUAAAUGUUUGAAGUGUUGUUCAAUUGAUUGAGAAAAAAUCAACACAUCAUCUAUAUACACAAUGCAAAAAUCAGAAAAAGGAUUAUAAAUAUCAUUCAUUAUUCUUUGAAAUUCUGAAGGUGCAUUUUUUAAACCAAAAGGCAUUACUGUCCAUUCGUAUUGACCAAAUGGAACAAUGAAAGUGGUUUUAUAACGGUCUUUAGGAUGAAUUUGGAUUUGCCAAAAACCAGAUUUCAUGUCAAAUUUUGAAAAUAUGAAAGCAGAGUGUAGUUUUUGGAGCAAAUCUUUUUUAUUAGGUACAGGGUACCUAAUCCAUUUUAAUGCUUUGUUAAGAGGUUUAUAGUUUAUUACCAAUCUAGGAGUUCCUCUUUCUAUUUCAGAAUUCUUGUUGACAUAGAAAGCGGCACAAGACCAAGGAGACCUAGAUUUGACAAUAAGUCCUUUAGAUUCUAAAUCUUUGAUUUCUUGUUGACAGUGUUUUUCCAAAUCCAUAUUCAUUUGAAUAGGACGGGCUUUAGUAGGGAUUUGUCUUUCAUCAAAAGAAUUUUCAUACGGCAGGUCAACCAAAUGUUGUUUUCGGUUCCAAAAAGCACUUGGUAAAUCAGCACAUAUUUCUUUCUCAAUCAGGGCUUUGAAAUCAGAAAUUUUUCUUUGUAUAAAUUCAUUUUUCAGUUGAUUUUCGAUUCUUUGUAAACUCAAAUAUUUUUGUAAGCAAGUUAAAUCAAUUAGUUUUGUUUUGAGCAAAACGUUUAUUUGAUUCUGGUAGACAGAACAUGCUUUAACAAUAUUUAAAUUUCUGGUUUUGGGUUUUUCAAUAAAAGGAAAAAUUAAUUUGUUCUUUUUUGUUUUAAAAGAUAUACUAUCGUAAUUGACAGUAUAUGGGGUAAUGAGGUUUAUGAAAAGAGUUCCCAAAAUAACAGCAUGAUGAAUAUCAUUUGUUAAGAGAAAGGAAGUCCUAAAUUUGAAACCAUUGUUAUGGAUUGAAGCGUCAACUUUGGAUUUGAUGUUCAACUUUGAAUUGUUUGCGGCUGAAAGUCUUUUAUUAGCCUUUUCAUGAAAUUUUUUUGAAACAAUGUCUGCUUUUAUACAAUUCAAAUCAGCACCAGUGUAAAAAAGGGCAAUGGUGUCAAUUUCAAAAUCUUUAGAAAACUUUAAGGUGAUUUUAAUCAAAUAUUUCCUUGUGGUAAUUUGUUUUAAAACAAAAAGAAAAUCAUUGGGGAUUGAUUCAAUGUUUUCAAGUUGUUGUUCAUUAUCAUCUGGUUCUGAUUCUUUAUCAGAAUUUUCUUGUAAUUGUCUUUGUAGGAGAAGUUGAAUGGUUUCAGAAUCAUUCUUUUGUUUUUCUUUCAAUUCUUUUAUUUCGAGUUUAAUAUCUUUAAUCUCCUUUUGAAGGUCUUGAAUAUUGGGAGUCAUUGAUUUAUUUGUUUUCUUUUUGUCCAAGAUUUCAGUGAGGUCAUAAGUAUUCUUUUUUAUUAUUGGGGCUUUAGAGGUUUCUGCUUUAUUGAGUUCUAGAGUUUUUAGAAGUUUAUCGAGGUAUUCCUUUUGGAGGUUUGGAUCAGAAAUGUGUUUAACUAACUCAAGGAAAGUUCUUGGUCUUUAGUCAACACAUUGAUUUUCUUUAAGUAGGAUUCUGCACUACUAGUGUCAGAAUCACUGGAAGAUAUAGAAUCAGAGUCAUUCAACUCAUCAACUUGUAGGGGUUCACUGUCUCCCGUCAUGGAAGACUCAGAAUCAGAAAACUCUACAAGUAAAAGGCCGACUUUAGAGAGAAUAUAGUCAUCAAGGCCAAGCUCAUGGAGCUUUCUAUUCAUUCUACAGAAUUUUACAGUAUGGCCUUUCUUUCCACAUUUAUAACAUGUGGCUUCUUUGUAGUUAAAAGGGGUUUUUUGUUUGGCUCUAAACUCUUUCUUCUUAGAGAAGUUGGGCUUCUUAUAAGGCCUCGAAGGUUUUUUAUAAGAAAGAUCUCUAGAAUCAUGAAAGGGCUUCCUAUGGGAUUUGUAAUGUUUCUUGUAAAGUUUUGUAGAACACUUACCAUUACAAUCUUUAGAAGUAGAAGUUUUAAAGGGGUCAUAAUUGAAUUGCUUACAGAAACUGCCUAAUUCUUACUUAGAUUUCUUAAGCUCCCAUUUUAGUCAUUUCUGUAAUUUCAAAUCUUGACAAAUCUUUAAACCUUCUUUGUUAACAAAACUGACAAGUUCACCGUAAGUGAGCUCAUCAUAAGGGAUACGAUUGUCAUACAGGGCUUUAAUGGAAUUCCUAACAUUUUCUCCUAAUAGGGUAGGUAAGCCUGCAAGGAAUUUCUCUUUCCAAGUUAUAUGAUUUGCAUCAUCCCUAAGGAAGAGUUUGGUAAAGAAUGUGGUUUUGUAGCUUUGGAAUUCACUAAGUUUCCUACAUCUCAAGUUAUGUAGUAACUCAGCAUUUUUAUCUCUAAGGUGAGAAGGAUCACCUAUGAAGUGAAGGGAUAUAGUCAGAAUCAAGGUAGCAACUGCAUCUUGAAUUGGACUAUUAAACUCAUCAAGAAUGGGGGCUCCAUUCUCGUCAGUUUGGAUAGAAUCUAGAAUGUCUAAUUGUUGUUGUUUGGUGAGAAGAUGAUCCCACCAACCUUUAAGUUGACCAGUAAACCCAGCUAUGAGAAUUUCUGCAAUGGCUUUGUCAGAAGUUCCCGACUGAGUUUUAUAGGCAUUGGCUGCCAUGGUCAUCUGUUGCAACAAACCUAAGACGUUAUACUCAGACAUACCGUCAAUAUUCCAUUCAUCGAGAAGAUUGAUUUAAUGCACUUAAAUCGAGAUUGGUUUAAUGCACUUGGUCUAUUGUCGAUGGCAAGGUCUGGAGGAGUUCUUACAGUUGGGAGAACAAGUUCCCAAUGGAUUUUAUUGGCUUUAGGGAUAGACUCAUCGUUCAAAGCUUCUAUGUUAGAAGAGGCUAUAGAAGAUUGAUCCUGUUCUAGUACACCAAUCUUGCUAGAUUGAGCACUAUCAGGAGCAAUUUGGACUUUAGAGGUAGAAGCAAAAGAGGACGCUUCUAUUCGAUCAAGUUGUUCUUUUAUGACUUUAGCAAAAUCUGAUUUAGAUUCUUGAACAAGCUUUUGGCUAUGUUUCGAAACCUGGAAAGGUUUGAAAAUAGGUUCUUUAAGCUUUUUCAGGGAAUCAGACUUUGAGGGAGUAGAAGAUGGAACAAUAACGGUUGACUUUUGGAAUUGACUUUCUAUUCGAGUCAACUGUUUUCCUAUUGUAUUUAGAUUAGCAUUACAGAAAUUAUUCUGUUGAAUGAUGCUAUCUAAAUUCGUGUCUGGGUCUUUAUGGAUUUUAUAAGGUGAGGCUUUAAUCUCAACAGGAGGUUCACCAUGUUCGAUGGUCAGACUCCUAAAAGGUGGAUGCUCAGAUUCUAUGAUUCUUCCACUACUAGAAAGGUUCCAUUCAGUAGUUUUCUUUCUGAUAGUAAUGAGAUUUGAUUCUUUAAAAGGAUAGUUAAUGUUGUUAUCUGAAGCAUACAUCUCAAACCAAUAAAAAAACAAUAUGUGAACUUUAUGCAGAUUUACAAAUUCAUAAUAAAUUUGUUGAAUUUCUUUUCUUUGAUUUAAGAAAUGUUUAAAAAAUCAAAGUCUUUUCUCUUUAUUAGAAUCAGAAUAAAAAUCAUUAUGAAGAAGAGCUUUAUCUAGUUCGAAGUCUUUUUCAAGGAUAUUUAUGACAUUUUCAGUAACGGCAGAAAAUGUAGGGGAAGUUGGAGGAGAAGGUUCCUUCUCUUCCUGUAUUUGGCGACUAGUGUAGAUAGGAUGGGGAACACUAGUUGCAUAGUCAACUGAAUGUAUGGAGGAACUAGGUAUAUCCGAGGUGGAAAACCUAGGUUGACUAUUUACUGGUUGGAAAGGGAGAUUUAUAACAGAAGGAAUUUUUGAAAAUUUCCUUUCCAAUUAAGGAAUACUUGAGGAAGAAUCUUUAUCAGAGAAUCUAGAUGAAAUAGAUCUCCUAAAAGAUAGUUUGACUUUACCGUCUGAAUACUGAGUCACAUUUUGCAACUUUGUAUUUGGCUUAAGUUGUUUUGGAAUCACUGGUGCAGUGGCUCCUUUGAGAAUCCAUUCGUUUGGAAGAUUGACAUCUUUCCAUUGGAUUGGUUUUGGAAUAACGGUGUUAGCUUUAGACAUGUCAGUCUGCAAGAGAAGAGUCUCAUCUCUUUUUUAUUGGAAUUUAUGUUGUGUAUUAAAUGCUGAAAUCAUGGCUUUAUACGAUAUUUUGAAAAUUAACGCAACUGGAACAGAUCCUUCUAACAUGUGAUAGUUAUGUGUUUUGAUCUGUAAAAUCAUUAUUUUCAAAAUAUUCUUGUCUUUUAAAGAAACCGUUAUGUUAGGAUAACAAUCAAAAGAAAUGGGUCCUUUACAGAGGCUAGAUUCAAUACUACUGAGUAAGGAAUCAUCAAAGGAGAUGAACCUUCCAUCUCUGAGGACAACAAGAAUGGAAGUAUUUAAUCCUUCUUUAGUUAAAGGUUUUAUGCCGAUUUGGAUUAAGCCAAUAUGAACAUAAUUAAAAUUCUUUUCCUUUAAUUUCUUUAAAGAAUGCUCAGAAAACAAAUGAAUUGUCUCAAAUGGCUUUGAGAGUGUGAUAUCUCUUUCUUUUGUCUUUAUAACACAGUCAGUUUUUAAAAAAUCAAGUUUUUUCAUUUUAUAAAUCUUAUCUUUAGAAACCUUUGGUAAAUCCCAAUUGUCAAUUGCUUUAUUAAAAUCUUCAAUAAUGAAUUCUUCUGAAUUCACCACGUUCUUAGAAACACUAGUCUUCUCGGAAGAAGAGCUAGAGAAAGAUGAUGUUCUAUGCAGUAGAGAAUCCAUGCAAUUUAAAACUUAAAUUAAAACCUAUAUGGAUGCUUACAGGUAUGGUUUUACAGCCCUAAGCGGAAACCCUUUUCCUAAAACGGGACUUACUACCAGUAAAAAAUUCAGCAAACACACAGAUUUAACAAAAGAAAUAAACACACAGAUUUUUACCCAAUAUUACACCUACUUCCCCUGGCUCUGAACCCAAUAUUCAAAUGAAUAUGGAUUUGGAAAAACACUGUCAACAAGAAAUCAAAGAUUUAGAAUCUAAAGGACUUAUUGUCAAAUCUAGGUCUCCUUGGUCUUGUGUCGCUUUCUAUAUCAACAAGAAUUCUGAAAUAGAAAGAGGAACUCCUAGAUUGGUAAUAAACUAUAAACCUCUUAACAAAGCAUUAAAAUGGAUUAGGUACCCUAUACCUAAUAAAAAAAAUUUGCUCCAAAAACUACACUCUGCUUUCAUAUUUUCAAAAUUUGACAUGAAAUCUGGUUUUUGGCAAAUCCAAAUUCAUCCUAAAGACCGUUAUAAAACCGCUUUCACUGUUUCAUUUGGUCAAUACGAAUGGACAGUAAUGUCUUUUGGUUUAAAAAAUGCACCUUCAGAAUUUCAAAGAAUAAUGAAUGAUAUUUAUAAUCCUUUUUCUGAUUUUUGCAUUGUGUAUAUAGAUGAUGUGUUGAUUUUUUCUCAAUCAAUUGAACAACACUUCAAACAUUUAAAGACUUUUUAUUUGGCAACUAGAAAAGCAAGUCUAGCCAUUUCUAGUUCUAAAGUUUCUUUAUUCCAAACUAAAGUUCGGUUUCUUGGUCAUUACAUUUCCAAAGGAACCAUCACUCCCAUUGAAAUGUCACUUGCCUUCACUGACAAGUUUCCUGAUAAAAUCCUUAAUAAAACCCAAUUACAAAGAUUUUUGGGCAGUUUUAAUUAUGUUCUUGAUUUUUGUCCUAAUAUCAAUAGGAUCGCCAAACCAUUGCAUGAUAGGUUAAAGAAAACUCAUGUUACAUGGUCAGAAGAACAUAUAAAAAUUGUUAAACACAUAAAGACCAUAGUUAAAAACAUUCCAUGUUUAUUUCUUGCAAAUCCUGUAUUGCCUAAAAUUGUUGAGACUGAUGCAUCAGACCUAGGUUAUGGUGGGAUAUUAAAGCAAGUUGACAGUAAUAAAGAACAAAUAGUACAAUAUGUUUCUGCACAUUGGAAUGAAUGCCAGAAAAAUUAUUCUACUAUUAAAAAGGAAAUUUUAUCCAUUGUUUUAUGCAUUUCCAAAUUUCAAAGCGAUUUAUUAAAUCAAAAGUUUCUGCUUAGAAUUGAUUGCAAAGCUGCAAAACACGUUUUGGAAAAAGAUGUUCAAAACAUUGCAUCUAAACAGAUUUUUGCACGUUGGCAAGCUAUUUUAAGUGUUUUUGAUUUUGAUAUUGAAUUUAUUAAAGGAGAUACAAAUUCUCUCCCUGAUUUUCUAACCAGAGAAUUUCUUCAAAAUAGAUAAUGCCGCCCAAAAGACGAGACAAAGGGAAAUGGAUCCUCACAGAACCCAUAUCCAAAACAACCCCUAAAGCCUCCCAAUCCUCUCCACCUACAGAAAAAUUACUUUCUUUAGCAAUGCCUAUAAAGUCUUGGAUUGACGCUAUUGAAGACCAAGAAGCCCAAUCCAAAGCCCUUGCCUCCCAGGAGCAAGUAAAUGAAUGGAUGAAAUCCAUUUCUAAAUCCCUUGAGCUUCUGCUCGCCUUACAAAGUUUUUCUCAAAGCCAGAUUUCUCCUAAAGAAUAAAAACCUAUUUCUAAAGAAACUUCUUCACAAAAUGUGAUUCUUUCUAGUGAAAGUUCAUCUUCUCAGAUUGUUCUUUCCCAAACAAAGGUUUCAAAGAAAACAUCGGAUUUGUAUGAUAAAACCCAUUUCUAAAAUAUUUUAUCUAUAGAAGAUGGUUUUUACCACACUGAUCCUUUUCAAGCAAUUUCAAAAAAUUUUCCCAAAGGCUGGUUUUUCAAACCUUGGGAUUUGACAAAACCUCAGUCUUAUUACCAAAGCAUUUUGGAGUCUUCUGAGUCUGUAAAAUUCAAACACUUCUUCCUCAGUGAAACCCAUACAGAACCAGCUUACUCCACAGCCACCAUUUUAAAAGUUUUGAGCCCAAAACAGUGGGGAGACCAACUUCACAAAUUAAAGCCUUUCCCCGCCAAUUUUCAAAUGCGUUUACCACACUGCCUGUCCUAUUCCUACUGGGACUAUCAACAGGCUUGGUUUAACACAUUUUUCAUACAAAACCCAAAAAGAACCCAUUCUUGGUUAUUUUUCUUCAAUCCAAAAAUAACCGUCCAAAGCCUCCCAAACUGGUUCCAGCAGUGGUGGAAUUAUUUCGGCCCAUGCUCUGAAAUCCUACAAAGUCUGAGAAACGGUUUCCUCCUUUUCUCUGCUUCUGUACAAAUUUCUUUCUCCCUUGGGUUUGGAUGUGGAACUUUCGAUACCAUCUACAAUAUGCCCAAUUAAUUCUACGAAGAACCUUUACAGUCAAAUGGUGGUCAAAAUUUGAUGAACAGUCCAAAUUGACUGUUAACAUGAUCGAAAAUUGGCUCUCCUCUAAAGGCCUUCUACAACCAACCAUCAAAGAUAUUAAAGCCCAAGUAACCUUCCUUAUCCAAAAAUCCAAAGCCCAAUCUCUUUUGGCCGGUGCCAAAACCGAAGAAGAAUAUUUUAAAGUCAUGGAACAACUUCUUGCAUCGAGAUCUGAGCCAUCCGUUACAAGUUCCAGCUCAAGCUCUUAUGGAGAAGCUGAGCUAUUCAUUUCCCUUGGAGAUGAGAAUGAAGAUGAUUGCUUCGGCAUCUUCCCUCCUGUAAAGCAUUGUUAAAGAAUUUGUAAAUUCAAAAAAAAAAAAAAAGAGUACUAAUUUUCAAUUCAAUUUUUCUGUAUUUAUCACUUGUAUUCAAUUUUAUAAUUCCUUUAAAUUUCUAUUACUACUUGUAUUGCUUUGGGUGAUCCCCUGGACACAAGUGAGAGCGCACAUGUCUCUUCACCCGAAAUUUCCUCUUAUAUAUUUUCAUGUAAUUUUAUGCAUUUCUCUUGUAAAACCACUGUUUCAAGCUAGAGUUUCGCUACAGUUUUGCUACAGUUCGCUACAGUCAGGAAGCUACAGUUUCGCUACAGUUGUGAAGCUACAGACUCGCUACAGUUAAAGACCCAGUCUUUGUAUUUAAAUCGGGAGGAAGACUUAGACUCCUCAGAUUUUUUAGAUCCAUAGAAUUCUCUCUUCUUUCUCCUCUCUCUCUCUCUCUCUGGGAAUCAGGAAUCGGAAGACAACAAGGAAUUUUUCCUGUCUUCAUAUUAAUUUCCCAUUUCCUCUGUAAUAUUUUCCUUUAAAGAAAACAAAGCAAGAAAAAUCAAAUGUAAGAUUUGUAAUUUCUUUUAAAGCUUGUAAUAAAUUUAAAUUUCUGUAUGUUUAAAUUUCUGCAAUUUAAUUUAAAGCAUUUUAAUUUCCGCAAUUUAUUUUAAAGCAUUUUAAUUUCCGCAAUUUAUUUUAAAGCAUUUAAAUUUCAGUAGUUUAAAUUUUAUGCAUGCUUUACAGACUGAUCUGUAUCAGAUCUGCCAUAUAAAUUGUUACAUUCCUCAGAAGCAAAGAGACCGGAUCUCUGUCUUCUGUUGUAUCUUCUUUUCUCCCUCCAUCCAAUCAGAGUAUUAGUUCUGGGAUCCAGAUCUAAUACUAUCUAUGAGCCUUUAGAUUUGUUGCUAGGCUUGCCAUUAAAAUUAUAUUAAUAAAAUUAAAUAAAAUUAAAGUGGUAUAUCGGCGGGAAUCCAUCGACGUAAGUUCCAGAGGUGAACCCGAAUGGGCAUUAGUCUGGUCCGCACUGAUGGUCAACAAGCAACGUACCCUUGUCUGAUAAUUAAAUAAUAAAGAUAAUAAACAGUUUCUCUUGUUUAUUUAAAAUUGAUUAUUAUUUCUUUUAAUAAUUGAAUUUUCUUUUGAACCUCACACACUUUCCACGAUCCCAGUUGCCAUUGGUAUCAUUAAUUAAGUGUCAGUAAAAGUCAUUUUUUUAGUAGUGAAGGUGGAGAGUGUGAAGAAUUGAGUUGUGAGUUUGGGGACUAAAAUGCAAUCGAAAGAGAGUUAUGGGCCAUAGUGCAAAUCCCAUCAGCAAAUAAUUUGCUGAUGUGGCAAAGUUUGUUAUGGUCGUUAGAAGCGUUUUUGGAAAAUUUCCAGAAGCCUCGGUAUAAAAGGGCUGAUGAACAACCUCUGAUAUGCGCGUGUUUUCUCUUUCUUUUCUCAUCCAAAUUAUGUAAUUCUUGCUUUAAUUGAAAGCUUGUAAUCUCCUCUGUAACGUGUGAUCGAGGUGUAAUCAGUUUGAAAAAUAAAAGCUUGUGAGUUUUUCCUUCAAACAGUGUCGUUUUGGUUAAGCUCAUUAGUUGUUGUGUGCCUCUGUGUUUGGCGUUUUUCUUCUCUGAUUCUUGAUCUGUUUCUUGCAUCUUUUUCUGGUAAUUUUUUCUCAAAAUUAACAUUUAGUCUUUUUAUUAAUUCAAAAAAAAGGAAAAUUCACUCAAUGAAGGGGUCGUAACCCGCCUUACCCGAAGUAACACUAGGCAUAAAGCCAAAAACACAAAUUGGCAACAUCUUGAGGACCCCAUUAUGUUUGAAACUGGAAAGGAAAAUACAAAUAAUUAUAGAUCAUAGAGGAAUAUAUGAUUAAAUAAAGACUUUAGUUGAAGUAGUCAAGGCAAAAAUGUGUGCGUAUAUAUAUAUAUAUAGGUCGCGCCUCUCUCUAUAGACUUCUGCAAUUUUUUUUUCUAGAAUAAUUUCUCAUGGCAUGAACACGUAAGUUAUACAGUCCAUUAAAAAAUCCAAUUGUCAAUAAAAUAAAUAAACAAAGUUUACAAAUGAAUUUAACUUAAAAUAAAAGAAGACUAUAACAUAGGUGGUCCAUAUAACAUUUUGAAGAUAACGUGCUUUAGCCUGGAGCACAUCUGGUGACGAUGCCAUUAUAUGAGCAGAUUACAAAGUCAAUGUAUCCUGCAAUGGGAUCAAUAAAAAAAUUAAGGAGGAAAGAACAUUUUCCGGCCAGCUAAAGGGCAUUUGAGGCCUUAGCCAAUUCUUUUUACAAGGCCUCUUAACAGUAAUAUAAAAAUUACUUAAAAUGUUUCACAAAUUAUCUGUUGAUAGAAAGAUUUCGGGCCAAUGGAAGAUUGUUGCAACUGAUGAAAUAAGUUACUUCUAUUAUGUGUAUGAAAUAAGCCACUAAAUAAACAUGCAACUAAGUGUUUAAUAAACUAUGUUGCUGUGAUUGCCAUAAGUUUCAAAAGCAAAAUAUUUUCGUUUGGUAAAUUUUAUUCCUAAAGUUUUGUUUUAUUGUACAAUGACUAAAAUGGACAUAAGUUGAUUUUUAUUUUUCUAGAGAAAAUUUGAUAAAUUUUCCAGAAACUUUUUUUUUCUUUUAAAGCACACAAAUUUAAUUAAAUUGAAAAAAAAUUCAACUCAUUAAAAUAUAAGGAAAUUAAUAAUAGUUAUAAAAAAAUUCUUACUAUAAUGUGUGUGCGUGCGUGCGUGCGUGUAUCUCUAUGUGUGUGUGUAAUAGAAAUUAAGUAAUAUGAAGUGGUGAUAAGAGUUAGCUUUAGAUCAAAAUUAUACGGUGCUAUAAAUAGUUUAAAACAUUGUAAAAGUCUAUUUAUGACGUCGUAAAUCCUUUCUAGUUUUUAUUCCUAGACUUAAAUUCUAAAUUGAAAUUUUUUUUAUUGUGGUAAUAUGUUAGAUUUAUGAUUUUUAUAUUACUGUUUAUGGAAAAAUAUGGUAUAAUUUUUUUAUUAAAAUAAUAAGCUUAUUCUAGAAACUUUAAAAGAGUGUGGCGACUUAUUUUGUAAUUUUCUUUUAAAAAGUAUUCCCCUACUACCUUCUAAAAGGUCGAUAAUAUUUUCACCCCCAAUUUUUGUAAAGGUACCCCACUUCUAGAAAGUAAUUACAUAAAGAUCACAUUAUUUUUUAAAAAAAUUUCAAAUAAAGAAGAAUGUUUAGAACUAAUUAAUUAAAUUUAUGUUAAAUCAUAAUCCUAAUCUUACGACUCAAAUCCUAGGAAAUCAAAACCCCCUGAAUCCUGUCCACUAUCUCAGGGAGAAAAAUAAAUAAAUAAAAGUCUAAAAUGAUUAAUUUUGACAAGUUUGAUUCUUCUUAUUCUAUUUAUUUUAGCAUAUUAAUCGACAAUUCUGAAUGUAAAUGACGACUUUUGAUGAGUAAAUUAUAAAAUGAGGCAAUAGAUGUGAAGAGAGGGAAAAUAGAAAAUAGAGGAAUUAUAUAUUGAUUUGACCAUAAUGGAUUGUUCUUUAUACUAAAUUACGUUUGGGCUAUCUUAUAUAAAUAAAAAACAAAAAAGUGUACUAAAUAUUUUUAAAGUACAAAUAGUCCCAUAAUUAUUGAUUUUAUAGGUAACUGUUGGACUAAUUUUAUUAAGUACUUCUUUGAUUCGAUUAUCAAUCUCAACCUUAUGUUGAUCGAUUCAUCUAAUUGUUCCCGUCAUUCUUCAAAGUAACCCAGUUGGUUGAUUUCUAAUCUCGGUUACAGAGGUAAAAAAACUGGCAUUAUUAGUCAGACUAUUCAUCCUACAGAUGGUAUAGCAAACGUGUUUUAUCUUCAAAAAAUUUGUAUCAACCACCUUAAACCUUUUAUUUCCACGCAAGAGAUUUUAGAGAAAAAAACUAGCUAAUACCCACAACUUUAUUUGAAGUCUUUGUUUAUUCAUUUUAUUGGCAAUUACUAUAUGUGUUACAUCGUCUUUAACAAAUGAAACUUAUACUAUUGACUAGCAUAGGCUUAAUUUACACUGACCUUCCGUAAUUAAAGUUUUAUUACAAGCCCUAAUUGAAAUUAUUAAAGAGCAAAAUUUAUUAAUAUUGGCUAAUACAGGCUAGAUUUAUUAUAUACAAUGACUUAACAAAAAAUACUAUAAUAUGAUAUUUAUUACUAAUAUAGCUAAUGACUUUAUUGGCUUUAAUUACGGUUUGUGCUAUAGUAGUCAUCUUUGAUGUCAGCAUCUGAAACUUUCACGCGGCUGCUGCGGAGUCCUAUUGGUUAGGGGUAGUUGUUGUUACAGUGAAAAUAAAUCUUUAGUUUUUAUUUACUUGUAGAAGUGUCCACUAAGUGAGCACUUGUUGCUCUCUUUUAGCUGUGUCUUUGUUGUUUUCCGUUAGAGUCUUUGUAUAAAUUCAGAGUUCAAAGAUGAAUAAUGACAGCAGAUUAAUUUUCUUCAAAGUUCAUCUAGUAUUGCAGGCGUAGGGAUUUGAACGUUCAUCUUGUAUUAAGAGUCUAUAGAUGAAUAAAGGCAGCAAAUUAACAGAAAAAGAUCGUCUCCUGAUCUAAUCUGUUCUGAUUUUUUCAAGAUCUUCUCCCAUGUGUCUUUUAGUAGUAGUGUAUGGGUAAGAUUCAACUUCUUUUAUUUUUUUAUUUAUUAACUAUCAAUCAGUAAUUAAGUUAUUUGCUUAGGACAUGAUCAGAUCAAGAGAGAAUUCUGAUCCGCAGAUUAACAUCUACUCAUUUAUUAUUAAGACCUUCACCUUUACCUAACAAAAAUUAUUAAAGAAUGAAAUUUAAUAUUAAUAUUGGCUUAAGAUUUUAUUGGCAUUAGUCAUGCUAGUCUUUUUUUAAUGUUAAGUGAUUGUCAUUAGAUUACUAAAACAUCUUUUUUUUUUUUUCAUUAGAUUAAUAAAACUUGUUGAAAUUAUAUAAUUGGCUACUUGAUCUAGAAUGACCCAAAAAAAAAAAAAAACUCUAUCGGUGUCUCAUUUUAUUAAACGGGAAAAUUAAAUUAUUUCCUUCAUUGAGAAACAUAAUUAAACCUCAGGGAUUUGAAAGUUAUUAACUCAAACAAGGCUUGAAGUUCUAUGAUUCCAAUCUAUUAAAUUAGUUUUAUCUAAUCUCAUAGAACUCAAAUCAAGUCUUCGUUUUAAAGAAUAAACUUAUUAUAAUGACCUUACCUAACAAAAAAAGUUAAAGAAAGACCUGAACUUGUUGAUAUUCCAUAUGGUAAUUAAUUUGAUUGAGAAUGACCUUAACUUAAUCAGAGACUUCUCGGAUUUGUUAAUAAAGAAAGAUAUGCUUUACGUUAUCCAGUUCACACAUUACAUAUGAUCAAGGGGCUAAACAUUGCUCCCUAAAAACGACAGUCGAUCCGGUGCUUGGUCCGCCGAUUUACACGUCCCAAAGGUACAUAAUACUUGGUGGACAAAACAGCUAUUCAGGACAAUUACUAGAGGUUGUAGUUUGAAAGGCACGAAUUCAUUAAAGUAAGGCCAAAAUUACAUUGCACCCUUAACUAGGUGACUUGUGGGAACUUAUGUCCGCAAAAAAAAAAGCCUCGUGAUACAAGAGUUAACGUAGAACCAAUCCUAGAGAGCUUUCCAAGCCAAUAGGAGGCCUAGACCGACGUUCUGACCUAUUGGCACGUAAGCGAUGUUAUCCCACGUAUGGUCCUGACAAAAGCCUUCGAGAAUAUCACUUCUCAUAAACCCUAGUUCACCUUACCGAAAAUAUUCAGCGAUACUGUUAGGGUUGGGUAUGGAUUCGGCAGGAUUGGAUAUAUGAAAACUCAACUCAACCUGCUACUGACUGAGUUGAUAAAAAAUCAACCAACCUAAUCAAAUAAAUAUGUCAAACCUAAACCAACUCAAUUCUCAAAUUAUUGGGUUGGAUUGGGUUGAGUUGAUUUGAUUGAUUAAAAUAAGAAGUAAAUGAGCAUUUACCCUAUUCAAAUAUAUCAACCAAUUAUAAAUGAAUGUCAAUAAUGAAGCAAUUUUUUUAUUAGAUUAAUUGAACUUGUUGAAAUUCCAUAAUUUGCAAGUUGAUUUAGGAUGACUUAAACAUGAUCACACCUGUGUUAGGGGAAUUUGUUAAUAAAGAAAGACUUGCUUCGCUUUCUCCAGACUUUGUUAAAUCUUUGAAUCUGCCUAUAUAUAGCUUGUAGUAGCUAAUCCAGGAAUAUCCAUUGAAAGCUAAUUUCACAAAUUUCCUGCCUACCUUUUUGAGUUCAUCAAAUCCUUUAAACUCUUCGGAAAUUCUACCAUGGGCGACAACGGUACGUUUUGUGCUAAUUACUGCUUUUCGAAUAAUCUUAGUUUGUAUCAUUUAAAUUAUCAUCGUAUUAAUUAUAGUCAUUGCUACGUACAGUAUUCUUACAUAUCUAUUUUCAUGUGAAUUUUAGCAAUAUCAAGGGAGAAAAGAAGUCUUCCUCCAGCUGACUACUCACUGAAAAUAGAGUCAUUCAAGCUGCUAUCCGAAUCAACGGUUGAAAGUUUUGAAUCUGGUGUUUUCAAAUCCGGGGGCUACAAUUGGUACGCCCAUCUAUGCAUGCCUGCCUCCAGUCUUUGUAUUGCUUAUAGAAUUAAAAAUGAAUGUAUUAUAUUACAUUUGUUAAUUAAUAUUUAUAAGUUUAAUUUAUUAAUUAUUUUUGUAUAUGGCAGGAAAUUGGUUUUCUAUCCCAAUGGAAAAAAGAAUGAUGGUGGCAAAGACCACCUUUCCCUUUACCUGAAAAUAGACGACAGCAAUCCCCAUUCUGAUGGUACUUGGAAUGUUAAUGUGUACUACAAAUUGUUUGUGUACGAUCAGCUAUCGAACCAGUACUUGGUGGUUCAGGAUGCUAAAGCCCCAAUGAGGCGCUUUGAUAGGCGCAAGGGUGAAUGGGGCUUCGGCAAAUUUCUUGACCUUGCAACUUUUAAUGAACCUUCAAAUGGGUACCUAGUUGAUGAAAGUUGUGUAUUUGGUGCUGAGGUCUAUGUUGUUAAACCAACUGGCUCUGAGGAAAUUCUUUCCUUGGUUAGUGAACCUGAUGAUGGAACUUAUCGUUUUACCAUCCCAGCAUUCGGUUCUGUAGGUGAUACCGUUCAGCGCUCAGGUGAAUUCACUGUUGGAGAAAGAAAUUGGUAAGUAUGCACCUACUUUUAAUUUAAUAAAUGGUCACACAGAUUCACCUACUGCCCACUGUUUGGACAAACCGUGAAGUUUGUAUGACCAUUCUUUAAAACAAUAGGUCUCUGUGAUGAUUUUGCCAAACCUUAAGGUGUCGUUGUUCAUUUUUUUAAUUAAUUCUAUUGGGUAAAAUAUAGGCAACUGGUGGUUUAUCCGGCAGGAUCUGGAGGUGAUAGAGGCAACUAUCUUACUGUUUCAUUAAAGCUAGCUGAUUAUCAAAAAGUCACACCUAAGAAACCAGUUUAUGCAGAAUUUAAGUUCAAAAUACCCAACCAAUACAGCAGGAAUAGAGCUGGCGCUGAACAAACAGGUGAGUACCCGCCCUUUACCGGCAUCAACUCUUUACUAGCUUCAUAUGUAUUUGAAGCCUAGCUUAUUACAUAAACAAGAGCUGGCUAACGCAUAUUAAUUAUACAUCGAACAUUAUUUUGUUGCAGUUAAGUAUUUUUUCAACUCGGCAGCGGAAAAAGAGUCUUCCAAAUUUUUGUCGAGGGAUGAUCUGUAUGACACCACCAAGGGAUACCUUCCAAGCAAUGAAACCCUAGUUGUUGAAGUCCAGUUUCUUGUUGUUUCAGUGAUUAAGGCGAACACUUAAUUCAUGCAUCGUCAUCAUGCAUGAUUUGCUGUGAUCGCUUUGGAUGAGUUCGUGAGAUUUCAUAAAGGGUGUUGAUGUUUUUAUUGAGUACUUGUUAAUGAUUUCCAAUAAAACGCUUGUGUUGCUAGUCUAUGCAAGAUUGCGUUUGCUUCUGUUAUUUUGUUUUGUUUCUUCACUAUGCGUUUUGUUGAAAAGUGUGCUCAUCAGGCAAUGCCUGAUUACAAAUAAAUUAAGAUGAGAGUAAUCAUCUGCAUGUGUUAUAAUAAAAAUCUUUGUGUCACUUGUGCUUCCUCUGUUAUUUGAAUGUAUUUUCGUUUUAAGAUGAUUGAUUAUUUUGUGGCGCGUUCUUCAAACAGUUGGUAAAUCUGUCAUUAACGAAAAUUAAAUACGCACUCUAAUCUGAACAGCUUGACUUGUAAUCUCAAUUUUUGAUCUCAUGUUUCAUGAUAAUGCAUGAUUUCCUCUGAUCGCUUUGGAUGAGUUCAUGAGACAGGGUAUUGAUAUUUUAAUGAAGUAUUUGUUGAUUUCGAAUAAAAAGCAUGUAUUCUGCUGAUUUUGUUUUGUUUCUUGAUUAUACGCCUAGUUAAAAAAUGUGUUCAGGCGAGGCCUAAUCGAUUCUAAUUAAACAAAGAUGCUAGUAAUCAUCUGUGUUAUCAGAUAAGUCUUCUGCUUCCUUUAUUACUGUGCCAUGUGAACAAAAUAUUUGUGUCGUUAAAUCUGAAUUAUUAUGCAGAUUCCAAUAAAAAAAUUAAUCCAGCAUAAGCGUCAGGGAUCUAGGAUCAUUGAUUAUGCCUACUAAGUUAUAAAUUCAUAUAUAUAUGUCUGAAUGUCAAUGUAUAUAAAAAAAAGUUUAAAAAACACAUAAAUCAAGUAAUGCAACAUCAAGAAUUUCUAUCUAAACAAAAUAGAAUAUGUAAUAAAAUAAGUCUUUAACUCAAAUUAAAAUAAUAAAGUACUCUUUAAUACUGAAUUCCAAAGAUCCAAAUACAAGAAUAACUUAUUUAUCGUAUAAAGAGUAUUUAAUGUAGUAUAUUAUUUUAAGUUUUAGAAUUUUGUUAUUUUAGGUCUUUCAAUAUUUUAUAUGUUAACUAGAAUGAAUUAUGGUAUGCACUUUACUAAUUUAUUUUUAGUAUAAUUGUGAUUUAAUUUCCUUCUAAGGUAACUUGGGGAGUAUGUUUACUGUAUUAUAAAUAGGGAGGUCUUAUUAUCAUUCACAAUCUUUGAUUAAUAAAACCCCCUUUUUAACAUUCCUUUUGGGAUUAUCAAUCAAAAUCUACUUUGUAGAGUCAAUUGGACUAGAGCUUUAUCUAAUCGAGCUUAAUGAAUUAUCAAAAUCUCAUUGAGUUGUUUGAAUUAGAACCACACACUACUAGAAAAAUAGACUUUACUGACACUUGGUUUGUGACAAUUUUUUAAAAAGUAUCAGUAUGUUCAUACAUAUGGACCAUUUUCCGUGUUUAACAUAAAAAUAUCACAAAUUACUGAUACUAUAGUAUCUGUAACUUAGACAUCAGAGAUUUCUGACAUUAAGGUAUCAAUAAUAAAAAUAAAGUAAUUAUAAUUAAGUUCCAAAUAAAACUCAAACCGAGGACCUCUAGUACUCAAGCGUUUAAGUUCCAAAAAAAAGACCAGGAUGUCCAAAUCUCAAAUUUUCUAGUUUAGAAAACUAACUACUAAACCAAAUAUUUAUUUAAGGACUACUUCAGUCCCUUAGCUAACUUGAGCACAUCAUGUAUAAGACACCCAAAUAUAGCUGCUAGGAGUUUUGAGUUAAAACCUAAUGUGCUGAAUUGUCUCCCAACAUUCUAUGGCCUAGAAAAUGAAAACUCAUAUAAUCAUCUAAUUGAUUUUCAUGUUGUUUGUCAAAUUUUUAAAUAUGAGAAAUUUUCAGAUAAUGAUAUUAAACUUAGAUUAUUCCCAUUUUCUUUAAAGGAUAUAGCUCGUUCAUAAUUCAAUACAUUGUUUGCUAAUAGCAUUACAUCAUGAGAACAAAUGGUAACAAAAUUUUUGAAUAAAUAUUUCCCAGUGCAUAAAACCAAUGUUAUUCACAGGGAAAUUUCAAAGUUUACCUAGAGAGAAGAGGAGCAGUUUUUCGAAGUAUAAGAGCGAUUCAAUGGGCUGUUCUUGAAGUGUCGACAUCAUGGGUAUGAGAAAUGGCACCAAUGCCAAUUCAUUUUGAAGUGAUUAUUGCCGCAUGUGCAAGAAUGACUAAUGGCAACAAAUAGAGGAGAGUUAAUGUCAAAGAGUGCAUCAGGGAUUUAGGAUUUUUUCCAACAACAAGUGGAUAAUUCCCAACAAUGGAGUUGAUCACUCAGGAAUAUUAAAAGAAUUACAGGAGUGAAUGAGGUUCAUAUUGGCGAGUCAAGUUCAUAAAUUAAAGAAGUCAAAGAGAUAGUUGAAGGUCUUUUCCGAUAAAUAGCAUCGUUAAUGGCUGCUAAAUCAACAGAGCCACAUGACCAUGACUCACACCCAGAUCAAGCCAAUGCCAUAGGUGUAAUUAAAAAGCCAUCAAACUACAACCCUUACUCCAACACAUAUAAUCUUGGAUGGAGAGACCAUCCCAAUUUUUCAUGGUCUCAAGGAUUCCAACAAAAUGGACUACCAGCUUCAGCUCCACCAAUGCAACAAAUUCCUCAAGUUCCUUAAGCCUUACAGCCACCAUUUAGGCCAUACAAUCAAAACCCGAACUACUCUCAACCCAGACCAUGGGAGGAUGCAUUCCAGAAUUUCAAGAAUCUUACCCACUCCACAAUCUAGCAACAAACUGCACUAUUGAUAAACUACGAAAUGAGAUGAGAGUAGGCUUCAACUCACAAACCCAAUCAGUUUCAAACCUCAAAAGAGAUGGUGGGACAGCUUGCCUCUUCAGUUCAAACCUUAGCAAUGGCUGUUGAGAAAGACAAAUUCCUAAGUCAACCAGUGCCUAAUUCUAAAGGAGUGCAUGAAGCAAGCAUCAAUUCACCUCAGCAACAUGGAGAAGUCAAAGCCGUUAUGACAUUGUGAAAAUGAAAAGAAGUCGACAACAAAGUGGAGAUGUCGGUGACAAAAACAAAUCAAAUUUUAUUUGUACAUGCUGAAGACUCAUCAUCAGAGGCAAAAGAAAAAACCAACCCACAAGAAUACGUUCCUAAAGCUUUAUUUUCCUAGAGGUUAACUAAAUCAAAGAAGGGAAAAUCUACAGGUGAGAUUUUUGAAAUCUUUAAAUAGGUAAGUGUUAACAUCCGUUUGCUUGACGCUAUAAAACAAUUGCCAUCUUAUGCCAAGUAUCUUGGAGACCUUUGUGCUAAAAAGAGAACAUUCAUGUUCAAAGAAGGCAUUUUUAAUAAAAAAACGUUAGCUCUAUACUCCAACACAAAAUUCCUCUAAAAUACAAAGAUCCUAAACUCCCCCACUAUCUCAUGUAGUAUAGAGAACCACACAAUUAAGAAUGCUUUGUUGGACUUAGGAGCUAGUAUAAAUUUGUUGUCUUACUCAGUAUUUAUGAAACUUGAAUUGGGAGAAUUACACCCAACUCCAGUGGUGUCAUAACUUUCAGAUCGGUCCAUGAAAAUACAUCAUGAUAUUGUGGAGGACGUGCUUAUCCAGGUAGAUAAGUUUUAUUUUCCUAUUGAUUUUCAUUGUAAUUGACACUCAACCAGUCUAGGAUUCAAGGAAGCACAUCCCCAUUAAACUAGGGCAACCUUUCUUGGCAACUGCCAUGCUUACAUUCAAUGCAUGACUGGAAAUAUGCAGUUGUCUUUUGACAAUGUGACUAUGGAGCUAAAUAUCUUCAACAUUGCCAAAUAACCACACAAUGCAGAAGAUGAAAUUGUUGAUGGGGAUUUAUUAGAAGAAUUAGUUAAUAAUACUUUUCUUUCAAACCUUAGUGAUGACCCUUUACAAACAUGUUUAACUCACUUUGGUUUGGAUUUUGAUAUUGACAGAUUAGUCGAUGAGGUCAACGCCUUACUUGAUUCAGCACCAUCCAUGGAAACUAAUAAAUGGAAGUCAAAAGCACUCUGCCAGUAAUCAUUUCAUCAUCCAUAAAUGACAAACAAAAAGAUAAGUUGUUGGAAGUUUUAAAAGAGCACAAAAAAGCAUUAGGAUAGACUAUAUCCGACAUAAAAGGUAUAAAGCCAGUAGACUGCAUGCAUUACAUUCAUCUUGAUGAAAAUGCUAAACCUAACAGAGAAAUGCAACAUCGAUUGAACCCUAACAUGAAAGAAGUUGUUAGAACUGGUGUCCUUAAACUAUUAGACGCAGGUAUCAUUUAUCCCAUUUCUGAUAAUUCAUGGGUCAUUCUUGUGCAAGUUGCCCUCAAAACGUCAGGAGUCACAGUAGUUACCAAUGCUAAUAAUGAAUUGGUACCCCCUAGAGUGACUUAAGGGUGGCACGUGUGCAUUGAUUAUAGAAAGUUGAAUUCUGUCACACUUAAAGACCAUUUUCCUUUACCAUUUAUCGAUCAAAUGCUUGAUAGAUUAACAGGUCAUGAAUUUUAUUACUUUCUAGAUGGCUACUCAGAAUAUAAUCAGAUUCUCAUAGCACCAAAAGAUCAAGAGAAUACCACUUUCACUUGCCCUUUUGAUACUUUUGCAUAUAGGAGGAUGCCAUUUGAGCUCAUGUGUGAUGUAUCUGAUUAUGCAGUAGGAGUAGUAUUAGGACAAAAAGUUGAUCGAAUUCCCCAUGUCAUUUACUAUGCUAGUAUGACAUUGAAUGAUGCACGGUUGAACUAUUCAACCACUGAAAAAAAAUGCUAGCAAUAGUGUUUGCAUUAGAGAAAUUUCGAUCUUAUCUCAUUGGUUGUAAAAUAAUUGUGUUCAUAGAUCAUGCUGCUCUUAAAUAUUUUCUCAUAAAGAAAGAUACAAAAGCUAGACUAAUUCGUUAGAUGUUACUUUGGCCGGAAUUUGACUUUGAAAUCAAAUAUUAGAAAGGCACAGAAAAUGUUGUGGCAGACCAUCUCUCUCGUUUCAAUUUUGACACAAUUACAGACCAAUUGUCAUUGAAUGAAUCAUUUCCAGAUGAACAAUUGAUGAGUGUGGAAGUAUUACCAUGGUAUGCUGAUAUAGUUAACUAUCUUGUUACAUGUCAACUUCUAGAGCAUUAGACUAAGCAGGAUAAAGCCAAAUUUUCUACGAAAAUAAAGAAUUUCUUUUGGGAUGACCCUUAUCUAUUCAAGUAUUGUGGAGAUCAAAUUGUCCGACGAUGUGUCCCAGAAAGUGAAUUUCGAAAUAUCAUUUCAUUCUGCCAUGAACAAGCUUGUGAAAGCUAUUUCAAAGCUAAGAAAAUAGCUACUAAAGGUUUACAAUGUGGUUUUUAUUGGUCAACUGUAUUUCGAGAUGCUUACACUUUUUGCUCUUCAUGUGAUAGGUGUUAACGAAUGGGGAGUGUUACACGAAGGAAUAUGAUGCCAUUAAACCCAAUUUUAGUGGUUGAGAUUUUUUAUGUAUGGGUUAUCAACUUAAUGGGACCAUUUCCCCCUACUUUUGGCCAUCAAUACAUAUUCAUUGCUGUUGACUACGUAUCGAAAUGGGUAGAAGUAAUUCCAUGUAGAACCAAUGAUCACAAGGUGGUAAUAGGAUUUUUGAAAAGUAAUAUUGUUUCACGCUUCGGAUUCCUUCGAGUAAUAAUCAGUAAUGGUGGUGCCCAUUUUUGUAACAAAUCAUUUAAAACUCUUUUGACAAAGUAUUCCAUCGCUCACAAAGUGGCGACCCCACACAUACGGAAACUAGUGGCCAAUUUGAGAUCUCCAAUCGAGAAAUAAAGCACAUAUUAGAAAAGAUGGUGAGACCAGUCAGAAAAGAUUGUUCUUUGAGACUCGAUGAUGCAUUAUGGGCAUAUAGAACAACUUUCAGGACUCCGAUUGGGAUGUCACCCUAUAGGCUAGUGUAUGGAAAAACUUUUCACCUACCUGUAGAACUCGAGCAUCGUGCUUACUGAGCUAUCAAGAAAUUCAACUUUGGCAUGUCAUAAGAAAAUGCCAAGAUCUACAAGCAACGAAUGAAAGUCUUUCAUAACAAGCAAAUUAUGAGCAAAUUAUGAAAAUCUUUCAUAACCGUUAAGUUUUCUUUUAUCAAUUUUAAUCAUGUGUGCCUCAACUAGAUAGAUCCUUUGGACCUUCUUAGACGACUUGAACGUGUAUAAUCUCAUCUUCCUUCACUUCCUCAGAAUGCCUUCCUCAUAAUUUAUAAAGUUCGGUCCGAAUGCAUGUGAUUGCUUAUGAGGAAUAACAUCCUUGCAGACAUCCGUUCAUUAAUCGAGGAAAAAUUUAUUGCAUACAUGCCUGGUUGUGGUGAAGGAAAUUACUCAAGAAAACAAAGAGCUCGAAAAACUUUCUGUUGCUUGUCAUAAGUGUGCCUGAAUAAGCUGCGAUAAAAAUCCACGUUCUUUAGUAAUGAUGUAUGAUAACAGGGAAGGCAAUAUUCAAUUUAUUAGGCAUGACUUGAAUAAGGAGUCAUUGGAUGAUAUCCUUUUGUCUCUUGAAACGCAUCCCAGUGGAUAUGUACAAAGAGCAAUUCUUCAGUUAUGGCCAUCAUUCCAGAAAGAGCGUGCACGAUAUAGUCUCACGAAUCUGACUAUAAAUGACCCUCUUUGCCAGUUUAUAAGAAAACUAGAUGGGAAGCCUAUCCUUGACUCAUAGAGGCCGUUCAAGCCGAUUCUGGACGUAAAACCAAAGGAAGAUGUGAGCCACAUUCACAACUACCUGUAAAUAUCCUUUUAUUUUAUUGUUGUUUUAUUUUACUGUUGUUUUAUCAUUUGCAUUCUUGUCUUUAAUAAUUUUAUCUUAUCAUUGUUUGCUUUUUCUUUUUACUAUUUUCUUUUUUACUCUUGAGCCAUGUGUUUUACGCGUUAAUUGACACAUACAUACUACCUCAUACACAGUUGUGAACCAUUAUCACCAAGAUCCUUAAAAAUGAUUUUUUUAAGCACUCACAAAUUAUUUUUGAGAAGUAUCCUAAUGGCAGCUACUCCCAAUAAACAAUUCAAGAAUAUUUGUGUGCUCUCUGGGUUUAACUAUGGCAAAUAUAAAGAGUUCAUUAAGGCAACCGUAGAUCUUGGCCGAAGCAUAGCAGCAAGAAAAUUACACAUGGUAUAUGGAGGAGGUGAUCGAGGGUUAUCAACACUGGUCUAAGAAGCUGCUUAUAUUAGAGGGAGCCAAGUGUUAGGCAUCAUCCCAAGAACCCUAAAACCUUUAGGCUGUUUGUCUGACUCACUAACUAGAGAAAAGUUAGUCGUCUUAGGUAUGGAAGAGAGAAUAAUUGAAAUGCUAAACCAUGCUGAUGCUUUUAUUUUCCUACCAAGAGAUCUUGCAACUCUAGAGGCACUAAUCACAUUAGCGUGUUGGGCCCAUUUGAACAUUCAUCAGAAAACCCAUCGGUUUGUUAAAUAUCAAUAACUUUUAUGUUGUCUUUAUCGCAUUUCUUAACCAUGUAAUAAAAAACUAUUUCAUUCCUUCCACAGCGAAAAAUUUUUUUAUUUGUGCUCAUAUUGCUAAUGAGCUACUUGAUCUGUUACAAGCUUAUAGACUAGAGCCAGAUCCCAGGACAUUUGUGUUGGAGUGGCCAACAAAUGAUGGUAACAGUAGCUGCGGUAAGAAGUGCAAAUUAGAUUUAACUCUCCGCUUGUAAAUAUUUUCUUUUGUGUUGCAACAUCCAGGUGAUGCCUUCUAAACUCUACCUCUUCACUUUAAAACAUUGAGGACAAUGUUUCGUUCUGGUUAGGGGGAGGGAAUAAUUGACAAUUGUGGAAUGUCUCAAUCCUGGUGAAGUUUUUACUAAUUUUUGUUGUAGAGACUAACUGUGGCCAAAUUUUUGAGUAGAAAAUAGCUGAAUAUGGAGUGUAGUGACUCUAGAAACGCAUCUUCUUAAGUUAAAAAAAAAUUGUCUAGACAUUUCUUUUUCUUUGUUGUCUUAUUAUAAAGCUUCGACAGUCAUUUUAAGUAUGAUCUUUCUAACUUCUUCUUUUACCAAUUAUCUUUUUUUACAUCAUUUUCACCUUUCUGGAUGCAUAUUUUUCAUGUUUAGAAUAGAUUUGGGGGAGAAUGUCAUUUAAAAAAAUUAUUUUAUGUGAUUUUUUAACAUUGGAUGACAUGAUGACUUUCAAAUUUUAGUAUUUGUAUUAUCUUUGAUCUUGAGCUAUGUUACACCAUGUUUGCUACUCUACAUGUUGAUGUCAGAGGCAAAUAUAAGUUGCUUGAAGGAAUGCACAUGUCACAAUAAAUUCCAAGUGAGUUUUUGAGCCUAUCAUAUUUUUUUAAGAGUAACAUUUUUUGUCCAUUCUUUAUACAGGUUAGCAGUUUAUUAUUUUGUACAUGAUCUUUAGAUUUUCUUUGAGUCAACCCUUAAAAAAAAGUGUGUUGGUACAUCUGAAGGUCCAUAUAACUAGUAGAUAUGGAAGAUUAUUUAGUGCCCUAAAAGACGAUGGAAAGGCCAUUUUUGACCUGUUUGACCCUUUCUAACCAUUCCUUUUGUGAAAUAUCUAUAGCUAACCCUUUUGAGCCUUUUAUAUUAAAAAAAUUUUUCUUUAUCAACUUAUCAUCUUGACCCACUCCGAUUUAGAAUAUUACCCGAUGUCUUACAUGUUCCAUCACUUAUUCAUGUUUGAGAAAAAUAUAAAUGAUUAUUUUGUUCAGUAAAGUUGUUCCAUACAAAAUAAAUAAAUAAAUUUAGUUCAAAAAAAGAAAAAAGAGAAAAAAGGAAAAAAAUAAUAAUAAAUAAGCGAAAUGUACCUUGUAAUUUCCAAAAGAUCUCUACUUUUCUCAAACAUAUAUUUUGUUUUUCCUAUAUCCCCUCCAUUGUUAGCCGUGUACCUAGUCUGCGUUACGUCCUAAUAAAAAUCCUUCUUUAUUUUAGGAAAUUAUAGUUUGAAGUAGAAGCUAGUUAUAUGGGUUAAAAAGAUGCAGUGGUGCAUAAAAAAAAAUGGAUACAUUGGUUUGACUAGCAUUUUGUUUGACUUAAGAUCGUAUUAUUUCUAGGUUGUGGGCAUAUUUCUUUCAUCUUGGUGAGAGUGUAUGAUAUUACUUCUUUAUUAUUUUCUCUUAAUUUACCAUUCAAGGUGCAUCAAAUAGAAAAUUAACUCUACACGCAAUUAAAAUCCACCUUCUUGUGGGAUCGAUACUCGUCACCGUUAAUCUAUUCUACAAUAGAUUUGUGCACUUGCGAGUUCAAUAAAAUUUGCACAACAAAUACCUUGGGAGUUUGGCUAGGAGAUUUGAUGGGAGUUUUUCGAGUUGUGUUUGUUGGAGGGGUUGCUGUAGCGGUUUCCCAUGAUGUGAUCUUAGCAAUAAUGUCAAGCAAACUCUUCGUUUCGUCAGCAGUUUUUUUAGCCCUGGUAGUAGCUGUUUCAAUUUAUGCAUUAAUAUUAUCUUGAUCGUCGUCUGAUUCUUCAUCAGUCAGAAUUUUUUCCUUGUCUUUACUUGAAACACUGUAACUGGGGGUUCAUCAUCCUGCUCAUGCCCUGUCUCCUUUUCAUCAGCUUUUAUGAUGUGCUUCUUUGUGGGUUUAAGAGGCACUACUGGAGGUACCUCAUCCUUUUCCGCUGCUGAUUCUUCUUCUGUACUCUGUUCCUCCUCUGUUUCUUUUUUUUUUUCUUUCUCCUCUUUAUCUUCCUCAGCUGGUGGUGAGUCUUCCUCGGAUUCUGAUUCUUCUUUACUCUCUGUUGUUGCCUCAGCUAUUGGAGCAUCCCCUGCUGAUGCUUGGAAAUUAAACGGCUGCAGUAAGGAGUUAGGGAAGUCUUUGUUCUUUUUCUUUAUAUAGAUUGCAAGUUGAUGUCUAUGGUUUUCAAGGUGCAUCAAAUAAUUUCAUAAUCUUUGAUUUUCUUCGUUUUGUGCGUGUACACAAUCAUUGAUGGUGCCGCUCAAUUCUUGCAGCAACAAGUUCUGGUGUUGCUGUAGCAGCAGUUUCCCCAACAAUUCUUUCAAUAGUUCGGGUGAUAAAUGAUCCUUCAUUCUUAAUGCUUUCAUCUUUGGUUGAUAUUUUCACCCCAGAUACAAGACAAAUGUUGGUGAUGAGUGAGGGAAAUAACAAAGCGGCAAUCUUGUGUUUUUCAAAAAACAAUAAUUGUCAAGAAACAUGUUGACCGUUGAUAAGGCUUUUAACUAACUGCCUUAAGUAACAACUUUAAUAAAUAUUACUUUUUCAGAUUUCAAUAAGUUGUAAUUGGCAAAACAAAAUAUAACAUUUAAUCAUUAAAUAUUAUCCAAGUCCAACCCAACAAAAUAAAAUCAAGGAGCAUUAACAGAGGUCAACUAGCUCCCACCCCCCGACAUAUUUUUUACAGUUUCUUGUGAUUAUACUUGUUACAACUACCAUCUCAUAGUUAUUGAAGAGGUCACUUUAGAUUCGGAAGGAGAGGGGAAAAAAGUCAAAAUUAGACCACAAAGAAGAUAGUUUUCAGAGGAAAUUAAAAAGGAAUUAUAAGACUCAUUUUAUGUAAAUGAGCGGCCUACAACACAUCAGAGUGCAAAAUACUAAAAAGCUUGCAAUAAGGACCCAAAAGAGAGAGAGAGAGAGAGAGAGACGUAAAAUUAGCAUCUCUAAACAAAAUGUUGAAUAACAGUUCGAGAAAUAUUUCUUUCUCCUACUUUUCCAUAGUGAUGGGACUAGGAAUUAAGAUCAAGUAAAGAAAAUUAGGCAUAAUUAUUGUAAAAAAAUAAAAGACCAUCAAAACAUAGCAGACACAUAGAGAUCACCAACAGCAAGCAUGGAUAUGAAACUAAAACAACUCAACAAAAAGUUAAUUAUUUUAGUAAGUAGACUGAACUAACCAUAUGCUUCCUGCCAAUAUAAUAACCAUAAGAACCUGACGGUCAUGAACACCAAAGCUUGUGAUUUUCGCUAGCUAGGAGCUCACCUACACUGAAGUCUAUAAGUACAAUAAUACCCAAAAUAAUAAUAAAAGCCAUGAAUGGAGUUUUCAAAAGUUCAUAAUUCGGUUUUAGAACAAUUGAUGGAUAAGCCUAAAAAUUUGAAGUACACCAGUCAGUUUAAAGUACUUCACUCAGCUUUCAUAUAUAAAAUAUAAAUGUGAAAUAACAUGUUCACAGUGGAGACCAGUCAGUUGCUGGAGAAACUAUUGCCUUGCUUUACAUAUACAGAGCAUCCCAUGCUCAUUAUCAUGGAAUGGUGUCCUACUGCCUACUACUCAAAUUAUGGACUAUUACACAAGUACCGAUCAAAGCUUUUGUUCUCAAUCUUAAAACAGAUCACAUAAAGUUCAUUAAAAAAAAGGGCCAACUCCUAACACAAUCCACCAAUAAACUCCCCUUUAAACUUCCAUCGUACUAUGAAAUCACAAAUCGCUGCAAACUCUAAAACACAUCCAAUUUCCAUAAGCCCACAUCGGAUCCUCAUUUAUAAAAUAAACCCCAUUUCGUUUAAAGCCUCAAAGCCACAAGACUUAAACAAAAAACUAAAUCAAUACGUAAAGAAAAGUGCAACCUUCCAAAUAAACAUGAAUUUCUCAACAUCGGCAACAACCUAGAAAUUAAAAUUACAAAAAAUAAUCAUAAGCUAAAAUUUAAAAAAACCAUUAAUUAAAUUGACAAAAAAAAAUUAAGCCAUUACCAAUUGUUAAAAUAAACCUCUCUGCCCUUAAAGUCGCUGAAAUCCUCCUCUACAAUUCUAGGCAUAGGCGAACCUUCUAUAGCAAACAAAUUCUAGCUUCUCAACAAUUAUCUCAAAUUCAAGCAAAUGGGUUUCGAGUAGCGAACAAAAAAAGUGAAAUUUGAACAGGAAAAAAAAAAAACUCUGACGAAAGAAGCCUCAAUUAGGGUUUCUCUUUGUUUUUCGAUUUGGGGAAAAAUGGAAAAAGGAAAGAGAAGCCUCAAUUAGGGUUUCACUUUGUUUUUAGAUUUGGGGAAAAAGGAAAGAGAAGCCUCAAUUAGGGUUUAGCUUUUCAUUAUCUGUCUGAAUUAAUUGAAUUGAGUUUGUAAAUGGACAACUGGAAACAGAAGAGAUCGAGAAGAGAAAAAAGAAAAAGAGAAAGAGAAAGCAAGAUAGUGAUAGGGUUUGGUUCAGAUAUUUGUGUGCAUGAACAAAAUAAAGUUUUCCAAGUCUGGGUUAUAUUUUGCUUUUGUUAUUUUAAUUUUUUUAUUUAAUUUAUUAGCGUUGUUAUAUCUUAAUUCUACAAGGUCUAAUGGUGUAUUGUCCAUAUGUUAUAGCUUUGAAUUUUAAAAGUCUUAGGUUCGAGUUGGAGUUAAAGCAAAUUUUAAUGAUUUUUUUUUUAAUCUCUAAUACUUCAAUGUCAGCAAUCACUGAUGUUUAAUUUACUGACACAUUAAUAUCAAUAAUUUAUGAUACUUAUUUACUAAAAACGGAAAAUGGUGCAUAUGUACAUAAUUAAUGACACUUUUUACAAAGUGUCAGUAAAAAUCAUUUUUUUAGUAGUGAAGGUGGAGAGUGUGAAGAAUUGAGUUGUGAGUUUGGGGACUAAAAUGCAAUCGAAAGAGAGUUAUGGGCCAUAGUGCAAAUCGCAUUCAGUGUAGGGGCGAUAUGCAAAUAAUUUGCUGAUGUGGCAAAGUUUGUUAUGGUCGUUAGAAGCGUUUUUGGAAAAUUUCCAGAAACCUCAGUAUAAAAGGGAUGAUGAACAACCUCUGAUAUGCGCGUGUUUAUCUUUCUUUUCUCAUCCAAAUUAUGUAAUUCUUGCUUUAAUUGAAAGCUUGUAAUCUCCUCUGUAACGUGUGAUCGAGGUGUAAUCAGUUUGAAAAAUAAAAGCUUGUGAGUUUUUCCUUCAAACAGUGUCGUUUUGGUUAAGCGCAUUAGUUGUUGUGUGCCUCUGUGUUUGGCGUUUUUCUUCUCUGAUUCUUGAUCUGUUUCUUGAAUCUUUUUCUGGUAAUUUUUUCUCAAAAUUAACAUUUAGUCUUUUUAUUAAUUGAAAAAAAGGAAAAUUAACUCAAUGAAGGGGUCGUAACCCGCCUUACCCGAAGUAACACUAGGCAUAAAGCCAAAAACACAAAUUGGCAACAUCUUGAGGACCCCAUUAUGUUUGAAACUGGAAAGGAAAAUACAAAUAAUUAUAGAUCAUAGAGGAAUAUAUGAUUAAAUAAAGACUUUAGUUGAAGUAGUCAAGGCAAAAAUGUGUGCGUAUUAAUAUAUAUAUAGGUCGCGCCUCUCUCUAUAGACUUCUGCAAUUUUUUUUUCUAGAAUAAUUUCUCAUGGCAUGAACACGUAAGUUAUACAAUCCAUUAAAAAAUCCAAUUGUCAAUAAAAUAAAUAAACAAAGCUUACAAAUGAAUUUAACUUAAAAUAAAAGAAGACUAUAACAUAGGUGGUCCAUAUAACAUUUUGAAGAUAACGUGCUUUAGCCUGGAGCACAUCUGGUGACGAUGCCAUUAUAUGAGCAGAUUACAAAGUCAAUGUAUCCUGCAAUGGGAUCAAUAAAAAAAUUAAGGAGGAAAGAACAUUUUCCGGCCAGCUAAAGGGCAUUUGAGGCCUUAGCCAAUUCUUUUUACAAGGCCUCUUAACAGUAAUAUAAAAAUUACUUAAAAUGUUUCACAAAUUAUCUGUUGAUAGAAAGAUUUCGGGCCAAUGGAAGAUUGUUGCAACUGAUGAAAUAAGUUACUUCUAUUAUGUGUAUGAAAUAAGCCACUAAAUAAACAUGCAACUAAGUGUUUAAUAAACUAUGUUGCUGUGAUUGCCGUAAGUUUCAAAAGUAAAAUAUUUUCGUUUGGUAAAUUUUAUUCCUAAAGUUUUGUUUUAUUGUACAAUGACUAAAAUGGACAUAAGUUGAUUUUUAUUUUUCUAGAGAAAAUUUGAUAAAUUUUCUAGAAACUUUUUUUUCUUUUAAAGCACACAAAUUUAAUUAAAUUGAAAAAAAAAUCAACUCAUUAAAAUAUAAGGAAAUUAAUAAUAGUUAAAAAAAAAUUCUUACUAUAAUGUGCGUGCGUGAGUGCGUGCGUGCGUGCGUGCGUGUAUCUGUGUGUGUGUGCAAUAGAAAUUAAGUAAUAUGAAGUGGUGAUAAGAGUUAGCUUUAGAUCAAAAUUAUACGGUGCUAUAAAUAGUUUAAAACAUUGUAAAAGUCUAUUUAUGAUGUCGUAAAUCCUUUCUAGUUUUUAUUCUUAGACUUUAAUUCUAAAUUGAAAUUUUUUUUAUUGUGGUAAUAUGUUAGAUUUAUGAUUUUUGUAUUACUAUUUAUGGAAAAAUAUGGUAUAAUUUUUUUAUUAAAAUAAUAAGGUUAUUCUAGAAACUUUAAAAGAGUGUGGCGACUUAUUUUGUAAUUUUCUUUUAAAAAGUAUUCCCCUACUCCCUUCUAAAAGGUCGAUAAUAUUUUCACCCCCAAUUUUUGUAAAGGUACCCCACUUCUAGAAAGUAAUUACAUAAAGAUCACAUUAUUUUUUAAAAAAAUUUCAAAUAAAGAAGAAUGUUUAGAACUAAUUAAUUAAAUUUAUGUUAACUUAUAUUUUAGUGACUUACAUAUUUUAUUAUAUUUGACUGCUAAAGUUGAUUUUUACCCUAAGUUUAAAUUUAUCAUUUUACCUUAAUAAGGUAAAUGUACCAAAACUUUACUUUAUCUUCAAUUUUUUUAAUUUUAUACAAAAUUUAUUAUUUCUAAAUGAUGUAUCAAUACUAAUUUAUUACUAUGAUUAUUAAUUUUUAAAUUAACCAACAUAAUGUCUUUAAGGUACAAUACUCAUGUAAAUUAUUGGGGUAUCAAAUUCAUGUCAUUUACAUAUAUGGUAUUGAAAACUAUUAAAUUUCAUACAAAAACAUUAGAUUAUUGAUCACAAGAUUAAAUACCUAAAUUAUUGUAUACAAGAAUUAAUAAAUAUUCUCAGGUCGAUUAAUUUGGUCAUUUUAUGUGAAGAAAAUUAUCAACCACCCACCUUAAGUUUUACUUUGCGUUCAAAAAUACUAAAAAGGUUUUAAUUUAUUUGAUUUUAAUUUCACCCUAAGUUUACAAAUUGCAUCAACAUAGUAAAAUAGAAACAAAAUGAUAAAAUAGAAGCAAAGAGACAAAAUUACCCGUACAAAAUGAUCAAACAAAAACAAACAAAAAUGACAAUGGUGGUCAUUUUGUAAAGGUAAUUUAUUUUUUUGGAUGGUAGAUAGAAAUUACAAACUUAGGAAGGAUGAUUGAAUAAAUUCUAACUUUUAUAGUAUUUCUAAACAAAAUGUAAAUUUAGAAUGGAUGGCUAAUAAUUACCCUUUUAUGUCAUAAGGAUAAAAUAGUCAAAUGAAAUUUAUGUUAAAGCAACCUUAAUGGUAAAAAUUGCUCAGAGAAACCAACGUAAGGAAAAAUUACAAGAAGGAUUAAUUAGUUAAAUGCACUAAUUUUUUACUAAUUUGUAUUUAUUAAAAAUAAUGAAAACAUAUUGUAUAUAUUUUCCAAGAAAUGGGUGAAUUUACACAAUAAGUAAGGUGAAAAUAUCCCCGCUCUUUCUAAAAUAAAAUAUGUUAGGAAGUUACAAAAUAAAAUUUUUUGUUGGUCAACCAUAUUGGUGGAACCGUGGAAAUAAGCAAAAAAAUUAUUUAUUGAUUAAAAAGAGACAAUUAAACUCAAUCUUAAACUUUUUACCAGCCUUACCCCUCGUAAUAACAAAAUGCAAUAAGCCAAAAACAGAAAGAGCGACAACAUCUUGAAUUCUGAAGCUAAACCUUCAUUCCAAAAUAACAAUGAAAAUGCAGAUACGAAGAGGAACCAGCGAUGAAACAAAGACUUAAGACUUUAUUCCAAAUCCAGUAGGAGACCUAAAAAGGGUACACGAUCGAUAAUAGGAGUUUUAAUUGAUUUGAUGAAAGCAGUGAUUAAGCAAUUAACGAAUUGGUUGUAACCACGAUCAAUUCCUCUUUCUCUAAUAACAGCAAACGAGUCCGCCUUGGAAAGAGUUCCCUCAGUGUCGGUAGGUUUAAUAACAUGAACCUCAGCACCAAUGUACAUGUAUUAUUAAGAAGGUACCCUUUUAAAUGUUAAUUAAAUUCUGCUAGGGUAAGAAAUUUGCCGAAGCCCCAUUCACUAAUUGUCUGCUGAUCAUAGGUCCUCACUGGAGAUUUAGCAUCUUGGACUGCCAAGUAAUCCUUCCUAAUCUUAUCAUACACAAACAAUCUGUAGUAGACAUUGACACUCCAGGCAGCAUUAGAAUAAGAAUUGCUUUCAUCUAUUUUCAGGUAAAGGGAAAGAUGACGUCUAUGUUCUUUGUGAUCUACUGUAUUUACAUUUGAUGAGGGGUAAGGUUCAUAGUACGUAUGUCCUCCAAUUAAGUGUUUCUUUCUUUUUUGAUUUAGACAAAAAUAUCUACAGUCUACCCAGAGUUUCACCAUUUUUCAAAAACUGUUCUACUUCCAACUUAAUACCGUUAGUAACUUUGAUAGAAUAUUAGCAAAAUGACAAUGUUGCCCUUUAAUUUACACCAUAAAAUAAUAAAAUUAUAACAGAAAUAGAAACCAAAAUUAAAAAACAGAGAAGGUAUUUUUCAGAAAUCCUCUACUUACAAAAUCAAACCCAUCAUUAAAUCACAAUCUCAUAAAUCAUAACCCUAAUCUUACGACUCAAAUCCGAAGAAAUCAAAACCCCCUGAAUCCUGUCCACUAUCUCAGGGAGAAAAAUAAAUAAAUAAAAGUCUAAAAUGAUUAAUUUUGACAAGUUCGAUUCUUCUUAUUCUAUUUAUUUUAGCAGAUUAAUCGACAAUUCUGAAUGUAAAUGACGACUUUUGAUGAGUAAAUUAUAAAAUGAGGCAAUAGAUGUGAAGAGAGGGAAAAUGGAAAAUAGAGGAAUUAUAUAUUGAUUUGACCAUAAUGGAUUGUUGUUUAUACUAAAUUACGUUUGGGCUAUCUUAUAUAAAUAAAAAACAAAAAAGUGUACUAAAUAUUUUUAUAGUACAAAUAGUCCCAUAAUUAUUGAUUUUACAGGUAACUGUUGGACUAAUUUUAUUAAGUACUUCUUUGAUUCGAUUAUCAAUCUCAACCUUAUGUUGAUCGAUUCAUCUAAUUGUUCCCGUCAUUCUUCAAAGUAACCCAGUUGGUUGAUUUCUAAUCUUGGUUACAGAGGUAAAAAAACUGGCAUUAUUAGUCAGACUAUUCAUCCUACAGAUGGUAUAGCAAACGUGUUUUAUCUUCAAAAAAUUUGUAUCAACCACCUUAAACCUUUUAUUUCCACGCAAGAGAUUUCAGAGAAAAAAACUAGCUAAUACCCACAACUUUAUUUGAAGUCUUUGUUUAUUCAUUUUAUUGGCAAUUACUAUAUGUGUUACAUCGUCUUUAACAAAUGAAACUUAUACUAUUGACUAGCAUAGGCUUAAUUUACACUGACCUUCCGGAAUUAAAGUUUUAUUACAAGCCCUAAUUGAAAUUAUUAAAGAGCAAAAUUUAUUAAUAUUGGCUAACACAGGCUAGAUUUAUUAUAUAUAAUGACUUAACAAAAAAUACUACAAUAUGAUAUUUAUUACUAAUAUAGCUAAUGACUUUAUUGGCUUUAAUUACGGUUUGUGCUAUAGUAGUCAUCUUUGAUGUCAACAUCUGAAACUUUCACGCGGCUGCUGCGGAGUCCUAUUGGUUAGGGGUAGUUGUUGUUACAGUGAAAAUAAAUCUUUAGUUUUUAUUUACUUGUAGAAGUGUCCACUAAGUGAGCACUUGUUGCUCUCUUUUAGUUGUGUCUUUGUUGUUUUCCGUUAGAGUCUUUGUAUAAAUUCAGAGUUCAAAGAUGAAUAAUGACAGCAGAUUAAUUUUCUUGAAAGUUCAUCUAGUAUUGCAGGCGUAGGGAUUUGAACGUUCAUCUAGUAUUAAGAGUCUAUAGAUGAAUAAAGGCAGCAGAUUCACAGAAAAAGAUCGUCUCCUGAUCUAAUCUGUUCUGAGUUUUUCAAGAUCUUCUCCCAUGUGUCUUUUAGUAGUAGUGUAUGGGUAAGAUUCAACUUCUUUUAUUUUUUUAUUUAUUAACUAUCAAUCAGUAAUUAAGUUAUUUGCUUAGGACAUGAUCAGAUCAAGAGAGAAUUCUGAUCCGCAGAUUAACAUCUACUCAUUUAUUAUUAAGACCUUCACCUUUACCUAACAAAAAUUAUUAAAGAAUGAAAUUUAAUAUUAAUAUUGGCUUAAGAUUUUAUUGGCAUUAGUCAUGCUAGUCUUUUUUUAAUGUUAAGUGAUUGUCAUUAGAUUACUAAAACAUCUUUUUUUUUUUUCAUUAGAUUAAUAAAACUUGUUGAAAUUAUAUAAUUGGCUACUUGAUCUAGAAUGACCCAAAAAAAAAAAAAAACUCUAUCGGUGUCUCAUUUUAUUAAACGGGAAAAUUAAAUUAUUUCCUUCAUUGAGAAACAUAAUUAAACCUCAGGGAUUUGAAAGUUAUUAACUCAAACAAGGCUUGAAGUUCUAUGAUUCCAAUCUAUUAAAUUAGUUUUAUCUAAUCUCAUAGAACUCAAAUCAAGUCUUCGUUUUAAAGAAUAAACUUAUUAUAAUGACCUUACCUAACAAAAAAAGUUAAAGAAAGACCUGAACUUGUUGAUAUUCCAUAUGGUAAUUAAUUUGAUUGAGAAUGACCUUAACUUAAUCAGAGACUUCUCGGAUUUGUUAAUAAAGAAAGAUAUGCUUUACGUUAUCCAGUUCACACAUUACAUAUGAUCAAGGGGCUAAACAUUGCUCCCUAAAAACGACAGUCGAUCCGGUGCUUGGUCCGCCGAUUUACACGUCCCAAAGGUACAUAAUACUUGGUGGACAAAACAGCUAUUCAGGACAAUUACCAGAGGUUGUAGUUUGAAAGGCACGAAUUCAUUAAAGUAAGGCCAAAAUUACAUUGCACCCUUAACUAGGUGACUUGUGGGAACUUAUGUCCGCAAAAAAAAAAGCCUCGUGAUACAAGAGUUAACGUAGAACCAAUCCUAGAGAGCUUUCCAAGCCAAUAGGAGGCCUAGACCGACGUUCUGACCUAUUGGCACGUAAGCGAUGUUAUCCCACGUAUGGUCCUGACAAAAGCCUUCGAGAAUAUCACUUCUCAUAAACCCUAGUUCACCUUACCGAAAAUAUUCAGCGAUACUGUUAGGGUUGGGUAUGGAUUCGGCAGGAUUGGAUAUAUGAAAACUCAACUCAACCUGCUACUGACUGAGUUGAUAAAAAAUCAACCAACCUAAUCAAAUAAAUAUGUCAAACCUAAACCAACUCAAUUCUCAAAUUAUUGGGUUGGAUUGGGUUGAGUUGAUUUGAUUGAUUAAAAUAAGAAGUAAAUGAGCAUUUACCCUAUUCAAAUAUAUCAACCAAUUAUAAAUGAAUGUCAAUAAUGAAGCAAUUUUUUUAUUAGAUUAAUUGAACUUGUUGAAAUUCCAUAAUUUGCAAGUUGAUUUAGGAUGACUUAAACAUGAUCACACCUGUGUUAGGGGAAUUUGUUAAUAAAGAAAGACUUGCUUUGCUUUCUCCAGACUUUGUUAAAUCUUUGAAUCUGCCUAUAUAUAGCUUGUAGUAGCUAAUCCAGGAAUAUCCAUUGAAAGCUAAUUUCACAAAUUUCCUGCCUGCCUUUUGAGUUCAUCAAAUCCUUUAAACUCUUCGGAAAUUCUACCAUGGGCGACAACGGUACGUUUUGUGCUAAUUACUGCUUUUCGAAUAAUCUUAGUUUGUAUCAUUUAAAUUAUCAUCGUAUUAAUUAUAGUCAUUGCUACGUACAGUAUUCUUACAUAUCUAUUUUCAUGUGAAUUUUAGCAAUAUCAAGGGAGAAAAGAAGUCUUCCUCCAGCUGACUACUCACUGAAAAUAGAGUCAUUCAAGCUGCUAUCCGAAUCAACGGUUGAAAGUUUUGAAUCUGGUGUUUUCAAAUCCGGGGGCUACAAUUGGUACGCCCAUCUAUGCAUGCCUGCCUCCAGUCUUUGUAUUGCUUAUAGAAUUAAAAAUGAAUGUAUUAUAUUACAUUUGUUAAUUAAUAUUUAUAAGUUUAAUUUAUUAAUUAUUUUUGUAUAUGGCAGGAAAUUGGUUUUCUAUCCCAAUGGAAAAAAGAAUGAUGGUGGCAAAGACCACCUUUCCCUUUACCUGAAAAUAGACGACAGCAAUCCCCAUUCUGAUGGUACUUGGAAUGUUAAUGUGUACUACAAAUUGUUUGUGUACGAUCAGCUAUCGAACCAGUACUUGGUGGUUCAGGAUGCUAAAGCCCCAAUGAGGCGCUUUGAUAGGCGCAAGGGUGAAUGGGGCUUCGGCAAAUUUCUUGACCUUGCAACUUUUAAUGAACCUUCAAAUGGGUACCUAGUCGAUGAAAGUUGUGUAUUUGGUGCUGAGGUCUAUGUUGUUAAACCAACUGGCUCUGAGGAAAUUCUUUCCUUGGUUAGUGAACCUGAUGAUGGAACUUAUCGUUUUACCAUCCCAGCAUUCGGUUCUGUAGGUGAUACCGUUCAGCGCUCAGGUGAAUUCACUGUUGGAGAAAGAAAUUGGUAAGUAUGCACCUACUUUUAAUUUAAUAAAUGGUCACACAGAUUCACCUACUGCCCACUGUUUGGACAAACCGUGAAGUUUUUAUGACCAUUCUUUAAAACAAUAGGUCUCUGUGAUGAUUUUGCCAAACCUUAAGGUGUCGUUGUUCAUUUUUUUAAUUAAUUCUAUUGGGUAAAAUAUAGGCAACUGGUGGUUUAUCCGGCAGGAUCUGGAGGUGAUAGAGGCAACUAUCUUACUGUUUCAUUAAAGCUAGCUGAUUAUCAAAAAGUCACACCUAAGAAACCAGUUUAUGCAGAAUUUAAGUUCAAAAUACCCAACCAAUACAGCAGGAAUAGAGCUGGCGCUGAACAAACAGGUGAGUACCCGCCCUUUACCGGCAUCAACUCUUUACUAGCUUCAUAUGUAUUUGAAGCCUAGCUUAUUACAUAAACAAGAGCUGGCUAACGCAUAUUAAUUAUACAUCGAACAUUAUUUUGUUGCAGUUAAGUAUUUUUUCAACUCGGCAGCGGAAAAAGAGUCUUCCAAAUUUUUGUCGAGGGAUGAUCUGUAUGACACCACCAAGGGAUACCUUCCAAGCAAUGAAACCCUAGUUGUUGAAGUCCAGUUUCUUGUUGUUUCAGUGAUUAAGGCGAACACUUAAUUCAUGCAUCGUCAUCAUGCAUGAUUUGCUGUGAUCGCUUUGGAUGAGUUCGUGAGAUUUCAUAAAGGGUGUUGAUGUUUUUAUUGAGUACUUGUUAAUGAUUUCCAAUAAAACGCUUGUGUUGCUAGUCUAUGCAAGAUUGCGUUUGCUUCUGUUAUUUUGUUUUGUUUCUUCACUAUGCGUUUUGUUGAAAAGUGUGUUCAUCAGGCAAUGCCUGAUUACAAAUAAAUUAAGAUGAGAGUAAUCAUCUGCAUGUGUUAUAAUAAAAAUCUUUGUGUCACUUGUGCUUCCUCUGUUAUUUGAAUGUAUUUUCGUUUUAAGAUGAUUGAUUAUUUUGUGGCGCGUUCUUCAAACAGUUGGUAAAUCUGUCAUUAACGAAAAUUAAAUACGCACUCUAAUCUGAACAGCUUGACUUGUAAUCUCAAUUUUUGAUCUCAUGUUUCAUGAUAAUGCAUGAUUUCCUCUGAUCGCUUUGGAUGAGUUCAUGAGACAGGGUAUUGAUGUUUUAAUGAAGUAUUUGUUGAUUUCGAAUAAAAAGCAUGUAUUCUGCUGAUUUUGUUUUGUUUCUUGAUUAUACGCCUAGUUAAAAAAUGUGUUCAGGCGAGGCCUAAUCGAUUGUAAUUAAACAAAGAUGCUAGUAAUCAUCUGUGUUAUCAGAUAAGUCUUCUGCUUCCUUUAUUACUGUGCCAUGGAACAAAAUAUUUGUGUCGUUAAAUCUGAAUUAUUAUGCAGAUUCCAAUAAAAAAAUUAAUCCAGCAUAAGCGUCAGGGAUCUAGGAUCAUUGAUUAUGCCUACUAAGUUAUAAAUUCAUAUAUAUAUGUCUGAAUGUCAAUGUAUAUAAAAAAAAGUUUAAAAAACACAUAAAUCAAGUAAUGCAACAUCAAGAAUUUCUAUCUAAACAAAAUAGAAUAUGUAAUAAAAUAAGUCUUUAACUCAAAUUAAAAUAAUAAAUUACUCUUUAAUACUGAAUUCCAAAGAUCCAAAUACAAGAAUAACUUAUUUAUCGUAUAAAGAGUAUUUAAUGUAGUAUAUUAUUUUAAGUUUUAGAAUUUUGUUAUUUUAGGUCUUUCAAUAUUUUAUAUGUUAACUAGAAUGAAUUAUGGUAUGCACUUUACUAAUUUAUUUUUAGUAUAAUUGUGAUUUAAUUUCCUUCUAAGGUAACUUGGGGAGUAUGUUUACUGUAUUAUAAAUAGGGAGGUCUUAUUAUCAUUCACAAUCUUUGAUUAAUAAAACCCCUUUUUUAACAUUCCUUUUGGGACUAUCAAUCAAAAUCUACUUUGUAGAGUCAAUUGGACUAGAGCUUUAUCUAAUCGAGCUUAAUGAAUUAUCAAAAUCUCAUUGAGUUGUUUGAAUUAGAACCACACACUACUAGAAAAAUAGUCUUUACUGACACUUGGUUUGUGACAAUUUUUUAAAAAGUAUCAGUAUGUUCAUACAUAUGGACCAUUUUCCGUGUUUAACAUAAAAAUAUCACAAAUUACUGAUACUAUAGUAUCUGUAACUUAGACAUCAGAGAUUUCUGACAUUAAGGUAUCAAUAAUAAAAAUAAAGUAAUUAUAAUUAAGUUCCAAAUAAAACUCAAACCGAGGACCUCUAGUACUCAAGCGUUUAAGUUCCAAAAAAAAGACCAGGAUGUCCAAAUCUCAAAUUUUCUAGUUUAGAAAACUAACUACUAAACCAAAUAUUUAUUUAAGGAUUACUUCAGUCCCUUAGCUAACUUGAGCACAUCAUGUAUAAGACACCCAAAUAUAGCUGCUAGGAGUUUUGAGUUAAAACCUAAUGUGCUGAAUUGUCUCCCAACAUUGUAUGGCCUAGAAAAUGAAAACUCAUAUAAUCAUCUAAUUGAUUUUCAUGUUGUUUGUCAAAUUUUUAAAUAUGAGAAAUUUUCAGAUAAUGAUGUUAAACUUAGAUUAUUCCCAUUUUCUUUAAAGGAUAUAGCUCGUUCAUAAUUCAAUACAUUGUUUGCUAAUAGCAUUACAUCAUGAGAACAAAUGGUAACAAAAUUUUUGAAUAAAUAUUUCCCAGUGCAUAAAACCAAUGUUAUUCGCAGGGAAAUUUCAAAGUUUACCUAAAGAGAAGAGGAACAGUUUUUCGAAUUAUAGGAGCGAUUCAAUGGGCUGUUCUUGAAGUGUCGACAUCAUGGGUACGAGAAAUGGCACCAAUGCCAAUUCAUUUUGAAGGGAUUAUUGCUGCAUGUGCAAGAAUGACUAAUGGCAACAAAUAGAGGAGAGUUAAUGUCAAAGAGUGCAUCAGGGAUUUAGGAUUUUUUCCAACAACAAGUGGAUAAUUCCCAACAAUGGAGUUGAUUACUCACGAAUAUUAAAAGAAUUACAGGAGUGAAUGAGGUUCACAUUGGCGAGUCAAGUUCAGAAAUUAAAGAAGUCAAAGAGAUAGUUGAAGGUCUUUCCCGAUAAAUAGCAUCGUUAAUGGCUGCUAAAUCAACAGAGCCACAUGACCAUGACUCACACCUAGAUCAAGCCAAUGCCAUAGGUGUAAUUAAAAAGCCAUCCAACUACAACCCUUACUCCAACAUAUAUAAUCCUGGAUGGAGAGACCAUCCCAAUUUUUCAUGGUCUCAAGGAUUCCAACAAAAUUGACUACCAGCUUCAGCUCCACCAAUGCAACCAAUUCCUCAAGUUCCUUAAGCCUUACAUCCACCAUUUAGGCCAUACAAUCAAAACCUUAACUACUCUCAACCCAGACCAUGGGAGGAUGCAUUCCAGAAUUUCAAGAAUCUUACCCACUCCACAAUCUAGCAAUAAACUGCACUAUUGGUAAACUACAAAUGAUAUGAGAGUAGGCUUCAACUCACAAACCCAAUCAGUUUCAAACCUCAAAAGAGAUGGUGGGACAGCUUGCCUCUUCAGUUCAAACCUUAGCAAUGACUGUUGAGAAAGGCAAAUUCCCAAGUCAACCAGUGCCUAAUUCUAAAGGAGUGCAUGAAGCAAGUGUCAAUUCACCUCAGUAGCAUGGAGAAGUCAAAGCCGUUAUGACCUUGUGAAAAUGAAAAGAAGUCGACAACAAAGUGGAGAUGUCGGUGACAAAAACAAAUCAAAUUUUAUUUGUACAUGCUGAAGACUCAUCAUCAGAGGCAAAAGAAAAAACCAACCCACAAGAAUACGUUCCUAAAGCUUUAUUUUCCUAGAGGUUAACUAAAUCAAAGAAGGGAAAAUCUACAGGUGAGAUUUUUGAAAUCUUUAAAUAGGUAAGUGUUAACAUCCGUUUGCUUGACGCUAUAAAACAAUUGCCAUCUUAUGCCAAGUAUCUUAAAGACCUUUGUACUAAAAAGAGAACAUUCAUGUUCAAAGAAGGCAUUUUUAAUAAAAAAACGUUAGCUCUAUACUCCAACACAAAAUUCCUCUAAAAUACAAAGACCUAAACUCCCCCACUAUCUCAUGUAGUAUAGAGAACCACACAAUUGAGAAUGCUUUGUUGGACUUAGGAGCUAGUAUAAAUUUGUUGUCUUACUCAGUAUUUAUGAAACUUGAAUUGGGAGAAUUACACCCAACUCCAGUGGUGUCAUAACUUGCAGAUCGGUCCAUGAAAAUACAUCAUGAUAUUGUGGAGGACGUGCUUAUCCAGGUAGAUAAUUUUUAUUUUCCUAUUGAUUUUCAUUGUAAUUGACACUCAACCAGUCUAAGAUUUAAGGAAGCACAUCCUCAUUAUCCUAGGGCAACCUUUAUUGGCAACUGCCGAUGCUUACAUUCAAUGCAUGACUGGAAAUAUGCAGUUGUCUUUUGACAAUAUGACUAUGGAACUAAAUAUCUUCAAUAUUGCCAAAUAACCACACAAUGCAGAAGAUGUAAUUUUUUAUGGGGAUUUAUUAGAAGAAUUAGUUAAUAAUACUUUUCUUUCAAACCUUAGUGAUGACCCUUUACAAACAUGUUUAACUCACUUUGGUUUGGAUUUUGAUAUUGACAGAUUAGUCAAUGAGGUCAACGCCUUACUUGAUUCAGCACCAUCCAUGGAUACUAAUAAAUGGAAGUCAAAAGCACUCUGCCAGUAAUCAUUUCAUCAUUCCUAAAUGACAAACAAAAAGAUAAGUUGUUGGAAGUUUUAAAAGAGCACAAAAACGCAUUAGGAUAGACUAUAUCCGACAUAAAAGGUAUAAAGCCAGUAGACUGCAUGCAUUACAUUCAUCUUGAUGAAAAUGCUAAACCUAACAGAGAAAUGCAACAUCGAUUGAACCCUAACAUAAAGAAGUUGUUAGAACUGAUGUCCUUAAACUAUUAGACGCAUGUAUCAUUUAUCCCAGGGUCAUUCUUGUGCAAGUUGCCCUCAAAACGUCAAGAGUCACAGUAGUUACCAAUGCUAAUAAUGAAUUGGUACCCCUAGAGUGACUUAAGGGUGGCACGUAUGCAUUGAUUAUAGAAAGUUGAAUUCUGUCACACUUAAAGACCAUUUUCCUUUACCAUUUUAUCGAUCAAAUGCUUGAUAGAUUAGCAGGUCAUGAAUUUUAUUGCUUUCUAGAUGGCUACUCAGAAUAUAAUCAGAUUCUCAUAGCACCAAAAGAUCAAGAGAAUACCACUUUCACUUGCCCUUUUGACACUUUUGCAUAUAGGAGGAUGCCAUUUGAACUCAUGUGUGAUGUAUCUGAUUAUGCAGUAGUAGUAUUAGGAUAAAAAGUUGAUCGAAUUCCCUAUGUCAUUUACUAUGCUAGUAUGACAUUGAAUGAUGCACGAUUGAACUAUUUAACCACUGAAAAAAAAUGCUAGCAGUAGUGUUUGCAUUAGAGAAAUUUCGAUAUUAUCUCAUUGGUUGUAAAAUAAUUGUGUUCAUAGAUCAUGCUGCUCUUAAAUAUUUUCUCAUAAAGAAAGAUACAAAAGCUAGACUAAUUCGUUGGAUGUUACUUUGGCCGGAAUUUGACUUUGAAAUCAAAUAUUAGAAAGGCACAGAAAAUGUUGUGGCAGACCAUCUCUCUCGUUUCAAUUUUGACACAAUUACAGACCAAUUGUCAUUGAAUGAAUCAUUUUCAGAUGAACAAUUGAUGAGUGUGGAAGUAUUACCAUGGUAUGCUGAGAUAGUUAUCUAUCUUGUUACAUGUCAACUUCUAGAGCAUUAGACUAAGCAGGAUAAAGCCAAAUUUUCUACGAAAAUAAAGAAUUUCUUUUGGGAUGACCCUUAUCUAUUCAAGUAUUGUGGAGAUCAAAUUGUCAGACGAUGUGUCCCAGAAAGUGAAUUUCGAAAUAUCAUUUCAUUCUGCCAUGAACAAGCUUGUGGAAGCUAUUUCAGAGCUAAGAAAAUAGCUACUAAAGUUUUACAAUGUGGUUUCUAUUGGUCAACUGUAUUUCGAGAUGCUUACAUUUUUUUCUCUUCAUGUGAUAGGUGUUAACAAAUGGGGAGUGUUACACGAAAGAAUAUGAUGCCAUUAAACCCAAUUUUAGUGGUUGAGAUUUUUUAUGUAUGGGUAUCAACUUAAUGGGACCAUUUCCCCCUACUUUUGGCCAUCAAUACAUAUUCAUUGCUGUUGACUACGUAUCGAAAUGGGUAGAAGUAAUUCCAUGUAGAACAAAUGAUCACAAGGUGGUAAUAGGAUUUCUGAAAAGAAUAUUUUUUCACGCUUCGGAUUCCUUCGAGCAAUAAUCAGUAAUGGUGGUGCCCACUUUUGUAACAAUUCAUUUAAAACUCUUUUGACAAAGUAUUCCAUCGCUCACAAAGUGGCGACCCCACACAUCCGCAAACUAGUGGCCAAUUUGAGAUCUCCAAUCGAGAAAUAAAGCACAUAUUAGAAAAGACGGUGAGACCAGUCAGAAAAGAUUGUUCUUUAAGACUCGAUGAUGCAUUAUGGGCAUAUAGAACGACUUUCAGGACUCCGAUUGGGAUGUCACCCUAUAGGCUAGUGUAUGAAAAAACUUUUCACCUACCUGUAGAACUCGAGCAUCGUGCUUACUGAGCCAUCAAGAAAUUCAACUUUGGCAUGUCAUACGAAAAUGCCAAGAUCUACAAGCAACGAAUGAAAGUCUUUCAUAACAAGCAAAUUAUGAAAGUCUUUCAUAACCGUUAAGUUUUCUUUUAUCAAUUUUAAUCAUGUGUGCCUCAACUAGAUAGAUCCUUUUGAACCUUCUUAGACGACUUGAACGUGUAUAAUCUCAUCUCAGAGGCCAGAUACGAUUUUGUAAAACACAUCAUAUUUGGGAUCUACGACCACCAGAGUUAGUAUCUCAUGUUGAGGCUUUAGAAAGACAGCUCAGAGAUAAUGAGGGAGGUAUAUACGACAUCCAAUUAGAACUUGAGGUAAAUUUAAAAAGAGGACAAUUGUGAAAUAAUUUUCUUUGUGUGCUUUAGUUUGUUACCCCGGUUAAGUGGCGGAUAAUGGUACUCCUUGAUAAUCAAAGUUGAUUUCUUCAGUUUUCCAUAAUAACAGAUAUUCUGAGACGAAGGUAUGGACAAAAAUGCGAUUUUACUAAAGCUUUACAAUUAAUAUCCUUCACUUCCUCAGAAUGCCUUCCUCAUAAUUUAUAAAGUUCGGUCCGAAUGCAUGUGAUUGCUUAUGAGGAAUAACAUCCUUGCAGACAUCCGUUCAUUAAUCGAGGACAAAUUUAUUGCAUACAUGCCUGGUUGUGGUGAAGGAAAUUACUCAAGAAAACAAAGACCUCGAAAACUUUCUGUUGCUUGUCAUAAGUGUGCCUGAAUAAGCUGCGAUAAAAAUCCACGUUCUUUAGUAAUGAUGUAUGAUAACAGGGAAGACAAUAUUAAAUUUAUUAGGCAUGACUUGAAUAAGGAGUCAUUGGAUGAUAUCCUUUUGUCUCUUGAAACGCAUCCCAGUGGAUAUGUACAAAGAGCAAUUCUUCAGUUAUGGCCAUCAUUCCAGAAAGAGCGUGCACGAUAUAGUCUCACGAAUUUGACUAUAAAUGACCCUCUUUGCCAGUUUAUAAGAAAACUGGAUGGGAAGCCUAUCCUUGACCCAUAGAGGCCGUUCAAGCCGAUUCUGGACGUAAAACCAAAGGAAGAUGUGAGCCACAUUCACAACUACCUGUAAAUAUCCUUUUAUUUUAUUGUUGUUUUAUUUUACUGUUGUUUUAUCAUUUUCAUUCUUGUCUUUAAUAAUUUUAUCUUAUCAUUGUUUGCUUUUUCUUUUUACUAUUUUCUUUUUUACUCUUGAGCCAUGUGUUUUACGCGUUAAUUGACACAUACAUGCUACCUCAUACACAGUUGUGAACCAUUAUCACCAAGAUCCUUAAAAAUGAUUUUUUUAAGCACUCACAAAUUAUUUUUGAGAAGUAUCCUAAUGGCAGCUACUCCUAGUAAACAAUUCAAGAAUAUUUGUGUGCUCUCUGGGUUUAACUAUGGCAAAUAUAAAGAGUUCAUUAAGGCAACCGUAGAUCUUGGCCGAAGCAUAGCAGCAAGAAAAUUACACAUGGUAUAUGGAGGAGGUGAUCGAGGGUUAUCAACACUGGUCUAAGAAGUUGCUUAUAUUAGAGGGAGCCAAGUGUUAGGCAUCAUCCCAAGAACCCUAAAACCUUUAGGCUGUUUUUCUGACUCACUAACUGGAGAAGAGUUAGUCGUCUUAGGUAUGGAAGAGAGAAUAAUUGAAAUGCUAAACCAUGCUGAUGCUUUUAUUUUCCUACCAAGAGAUCUUGCAACUCUAGAGGCACUAAUCACAUUAGCGUCUUGGGCCCAUUUGAACAUUCAUCAGAAACCCAUCGGUUUGUUAAAUGUCAAUAACUUUUAUGUUGUCUUUAUCGCAUUUCUUAACCAUGUAAUAAAAAAUUAUUUCAUUCCUUCCACAGCGAAAAAAAUUUUUAUUUGUGCUCGUAUUGCUAAUGAGCUACUUGAUCUGUUACAAGCUUAUAGACUAGAGCCAGAUCCCAGGACAUUUGUGUUGGAGUGGCCAACAAAUGAUGGUAACAGUAGCUGCGGUAAGAAGUGCAAAUUAGAUUUAACUCUUCGCUUGUAAAUAUUUUCUUUUGUGUUGCAACAUCCAGGUGAUGCCUUCUAAACUCUACCUCUUCACUUUAAAACAUUGAGGACAAUGUUUCGUUCUGGUUAGGGGGAGGGAAUAAUUGACAAUUGUGAAAUGUCUCAAUCCUGGUGAAGUUUUUACUAAUUUUUGUUGUAGAGACUAACUGUGGCCAAAUUUUUGAGUAGAAAAUGGCUGAAUAUGGAGUGUAGUGACUCUAGAAACGCAUCUUCUUAAGUUAAAAAAAAAAUUGUCUAGACAUUUCUUUUUCUUUGUUUUCUUAUUAUAAAGCUUCGACAGUCAUUUUAAGUAUGAUCUUUCUAACUUCUUCUUUUACCAAUUAUCUUUUUCUACAUCAUUUUCACCUUUCUGCAUGCAUAUUUUUCAUGUUUAGAAUAGAUUUGGGGGAGAAUGUCAUUUAAAAAAAUUAUUUUAUGUGAUUUUUUAACAUUGGAUGACAUGAUGACUUUCAAAUUUUAGUAUUUGUAUUAUCUUUGAUCUUGAGCCAUGUUACACCAUGUUUGCUACUCUACAUGUUGAUGUCAGAGACAAAUAUAAGUUGCUUGAAGGAAUGCACAUGUCACAAGAAAUUCCAAGUGAGUUUUUGAGCCUAUCAUAUUUUUUGAAGAGUAACAUUUUUUGUCCAUUCUUCAUACAGGUUAGCAGUUUAUUAUUUUGUACAUGAUCUUUAGAUUUUCUUUGAGUCAACCCUUAAAAAAAAGUGUGUUGGUACAUCUGAAGGUCCAUCUAACUAGUAGAUAUGGAAGAUUAUUUAGUGCCCUAAAAGACGAUGGAAAGGCCAUCUUUGACCUGUUUGACCCUUUCUAACCAUUCCUUUUAUGAAAUAUCCAUAGUUAACCCUUUUAAGCCUUUUAUAUUAAAAAAAUAUUUUUCUUUAUCAACUUAUCAUCUUGACCCACUCCGAUUUAGAAUAUUACCCGAUGUCUUACAUGUUCCAUCACUUAUUCAUGUUUGAGAAAAAUAUAAAUGAUUAUUUUGUUCAGUAAAGUUGUUCCAUACAAAAUAAAUAAAUUUAGUUCAAAAAAAGAAAAAAGAGAAAAAAGGAAAAAAAUAAUAAUAAAUAAGCGAAAUGUACCUUGUAAUUUCCAAAAGAUCUCUACUUUUCUCAAACAUAUAUUUGGUUUUUCCUAUAUCCCCUCCAUUGUUAGCCGCGUCCCUAGUCUGCAUUACGUCCUAAUAAAAAUCCUUCUUUAUUUUAGGAAAUUAUAGUUUGAAGUAGAAGCUAGUUAUAUGGGCUAAAAAGAUGCAGUGGUGCAUAAAACAAAAUGGAUACAUUGGUUUGACUAGCAUUUUGUUUGACUUAAGAUCGUAUUAUUUCUAAGCUGUGGGCAUAUUUCUUUCAUCUUGGUGAGAUGUAUGAUAUUACUCUUUUUUUUUUUUUUUUUUUUUUUUUUUUUUUUUUUUUUUUUUUUUUUUUUUUUUUUUUUUUUUUUUUUUUUUUUUUUUUUUUUUUUUUUUUUUUUUUUUUUUUUUUUUUUUUUGAUUUUUUUUUUUUUUUUUUUUUUUUUUUAAUUUGC